CUCCAACGAUUUCCAUAUCUUUCUUUCUUUGAUCCUUGUGACAGUGACAGACGGAAUAAUAGUUGUCUUGGAAUCCUGAUUUUCACUUAUCAGGACCUUGAUGGGUACGUUUCAAAAGAUUGUUAGACGCUGGAUAAAUAAUGCAUGUACACAAGAAUGCAUUUUUCUGUUUCUUUAUUGCUUUGUUGAAGUUUUGGAUUUGUCCUGUUGAUGUGAAGGGUCUCUAACUAUCUUAACCUGAAUUUUUUUUUUUCAUUUGUACGGAGGAUUUAGCCAUCUUUUUUCUUUUGUAGUGUAGUCUCUGUUCUUGUCAAGUGAAUAAUGUGGCAUGGCUGCAAAGAUGGUCACCCCUUUUCCGUGUCUUUGUCAAUUAGACGGAAAACAACAUCUUAUCAUUGAACCUCUUAAUACGCAUGCUAAUACAUGGAAAAAGAGGGAGUGGUGCAUUAUUUUAAGCAUUGCUUUGGCCUGGAAAAUCUUAUAACUGGCCACCACUUUUCAUUAUUCUCGCAAUAUCAUUUGAAUUUGCAUUAAUUUUGCAGCUUAAGACAUGAAGGGCAGAACAACUGGAGCAAAGAUGAUAAUCGAGGAUGCCAAUCACGACGAGUUGCCUCCUCCAAGUGGCAACCAGGGCUGUUCAAGAAAGCAAGCGAACUAUGAACUCUCUGUGCUGCUGAGAUGGCCAUUAUUCUUUUCUCUCCUAGCGGUAAGCCUUUCUCCUUUGGACACCCUUCUGUGGGUGCGGUCCUAGACAGAUUUGAGCAUCCACAGGCGGUUUGUCCUACUGUCACUCAACAGGCUAAAACUGAUGGAGGCACCUUAGUUGAACUGAACAAACAAUAUGCCGAUGUGCUCGAGCGACUGGAAGCUGAAAAGAAACGGGCAAAAGAGCUCCAGCAUGUUAAGCCUCUGCAAAUCGAAAACCUUAGCUUUGAACAGUUAAUAAUGGUAUUAAAGAAGGCGCUAGCAGAUCUCUAGGAGCAGCUGGACAAGAGAAGGAUGGGGCUCUUGGGAUUAGAAGCUUCAACUUCAACUCCUCACGCAGGAGCUAUUGAUGCCUCUGUCAUUAGCCAAAUUGAUAUGAUCUUCGUGAAGCAAAUGUUGGUGAGUACUGAGGAGUAGUCAAUUUUAGCAGAACUAGGGGAGAGAUUGUUGUCCUAUCUUAAAUUGUAUUUUACAUUUUUCAGUCAAUCUCUCUCUUAACAAGAGAGAAGUCUUGAGGAUACAAUAAGCAAUAAAAAAGUUAUGUUUUUUAAGUUGCUAUUUUUCGAUAUAGUGACAUGAUAUCAAUUUUUCAAAGAAUACAGCUAGCAUUAAAGUAACAAAUAUAUAAAUCUAAAUUAGGCAAAUGACACAAGUUAUGCUUCUCAUAACCAAGUGCAACAAUGCUAUACUAGGCUUAUUGAUCUAGGCUUUUGAAAUGUGUCUUAAUCAGUCUAUUAUAUUAACGGAAAAUUCCAAAUAAGAACCUGAAGUGCUCACAUUUUCUCAAAUAAAGACUAAAAGUAAACAUUAUUUUAGUAAAGGCCUUAAGUGACCAAAUUGUCUCUAAUAAGAGUUUGAAGUGGAACUUUUUUUAAAUAAGAGCCUAAAGUGAGCAUAUUAGUUUCAAAAAAUGACCUAACCUCUCUAACUGGAGAGCAUUUUUCGUCUUUUAUCUCUUAAUUUUUUUCUUUUUUUCUUUUCUUUUUCUUUUGUUUUUUUUCCCUCCUCCCUCUGCGGGCCAUGGUAGAGGGAAAGUGGACUCAAGUGAGGGCGAGGGUUGACCUCGGCGACAUCAGGCGAGGGUGUCCCUUGUUGGAUCUGGGGAGGGACACCAUCGCUCGACUCAAGCAAACACUGCCCUUGCCCACAUAGGGGAGGCUCGCCCUCACCGAAUUGGGCACGGGUUGCCCUUGCCGGAUCUAGGGAGGGCAACCCUUGCCUAACUCUAGGUAAGGGUAGCCCUCGCCCAAUGCUAGUGAGGGCAAACCGUUGACAGCCAUGGUCGGGGAAGGGAAGAGAAAAAAAGAAAAGAAAAAAAAAAGAUGAAAAAGUCAAAAAAAUUUUAAAAUAUAUUUACCAUUUUUUGACCAAAAUACCCCUUCUUUGAUGGCUGAAAAAGUCACCACCGGCCAAAUGCCCUUAUUUAAGACGAUUUAGCUAUUUUAGGCCUUUAUUUGAAAUAAUUUCGUCAUUUCAUGCCUUUAUUUGAAAUAACGUCCACUUCGAGCUAUUAUUUGAGAAAACUAAAGCACUUCGCGUCAUUUUUUGAAAUUUUCCCUUAUAUUAAUAAUAUUGUAUACUCAAGAUUUAGGUACUUAAAGUAGGUUCAUUAAUAAUCAUAAAAAAAUAUAUAUUUUACUUCUUAAUUUCUCCAUUUCAUAGAAGAUUGUUAUAUUGGGGUUUAGUUCUUGACCUUAUGAAUAGACAACUAAAUAUUUAUACUUGCACAUCAAUUGUCUCUCCUAAGAAGUUAUGUCUCUUUCAAAGUUCAAACCACAAGUCUCCUGGUCAUAGACCUUCUCAGCAUGUGUUUUCGAAAGUGCAUAGAAGUAUUUAACAGGUGUUCAUGAUUUAUAGGCUCAAUCAGGUGCAUCUUUUCAUUUGUUUCGCAAAUAUCUAGUGUGAAGAUUAGAGUCAAGAAUUUUAUAGACAAGUUAUUCAUGUUGCACCUAUGAGUUCUUGUACAUAUGUGAUGAAAUCUAAUUUGCUGGGGACUCCGACCCACCACGUUUUUAAGCUAACUUAACACAACUCUUCCUCGGAAUGACCAAAUUUAAAUACUAUAGUUUACAAUUAUAAUUUUUUUUUUCUUUCCAAUCACUUUUAACUAUUCGAGAGCAGUUCAAAAGGGAAAAUUACUUGAUUAGUCUUAAACUUAUUGUUUAAAUGCUAAUUUAGUCCUAAAUUUUGCUAAUAUAGUUCUAAACUUUUACGUAAAAUUACAAUAUAGUCCUUUCGACUUAUAUUUGUUGAAAAUAGCUGAGUGGUGGUCCAAUCAUCAUCGAUUGUCUUACGUAGCACAUCACUACGUAAGUGAUUUUCAAUGAAAAUUGAUUGAAGGACUACAUUUAGAAUGUUACAUAAAAGUUUAGAAAUAAAUUAGCAAAAUUAAAAAAAUUAAAAAUAUAGGAUUAAAUUGACAUCCGUGUAAUAAAUUUAGGACUAAUUGAAUAAUUUCCCAUUAUUCAAAGAAUAUACACAUGGUGAUAAUAUUUUUCGUUAUAUAUAUAUAUAUAUAUAUAUAUUAAUUUUCAUUUUGGAAAGCCUAAUACGAUUUCUUUUUUGUUUAUUUUAAUUGAUAAAAGAUGAUGGAAUGUGACGUGAGAGAAUGAGAAUAAAUCAUUAUAUACCUCUUCCUUUGGGACGAAUACGACCAUUCUUCCUUUGUUUCCGGCAAAUACCAAGCUGUUUAAGUUCAAUGCUCAGGUUUUUGGGCCAAUCCCUCUUUCCUUACUCAUCAAGCUAGAAAUUAGAGUGCUGAAGGCAGCGAUCAAACUGUAAAUUUCUCUUAGCGCAUUCAUUAAUUGAGGCUUGAAUCUCCUGGGCCUUCAAUGGACAUAGGAGUUUCAAGAAACAUGAAGUGGUUUAUUUUAUAUUUCCUGAGCAAAAUUUUCUUGUGACUGAGAAAUUUGUUUUGGCAGAGCAAAAGGGUGCGGUAAGGUGACCAAUUAUAAUCACCACUCUAGGCAUUAGAAGAAGCUUUUAAUACAUGAAGCUUAAGAAAGUUUUGAGCACAUGAAGGAUUUGAUCUCCUUUGUAUUGGAUACAUGCCCAUACAACUCCUUUACUAGACUAGAAAUUACAAUGAAAGAUUCUAACAUUGUAAAACGCGAUAAGAUUUGCAUGUUGCGGGCGCCAAUUCUCUUGAGACGUCGAUGAGAUUAUUCUUGAUUGAAUUUAAACGACAAGUAAUGAUAAAUUUAAGAUGGUUGAAUUGCAAUUUACAAGAGAAUGAUCUAAUUCAUUUGUGUAUUGGUAUGAGCAAGGAACCCCUGAAUUCGGGGAAUUGUGGUCGAGGGUUUGCACCGAACUAUUUAUGUUGUGUAUCACGGCUUAAUUAUCGACCAACCGUUCAAGUUUUUGUCAGCCCUGUAUUACAUCCGUAGCGGAACCAAUUAUCUCAAAAUCUCAUAAAGUACUCCCUCAAAAAAAUAGAAUAAACCCUAACACUAAUCUUUAUAUAUAUUAGUAUUCAAAAUAGGGAAUCCUUUGUAAGAGACCUCUACUCAAACUGGGAAACCUACUUGAAUUGGAUUUUCUUUCCAAGCUCAAAUUCAAUACAUAUUCUUGAGAUAAGAACAACGAAAGUGUCAUAAUAUUUGUACGGCACUCACUUGAAUGUCAUAAUUUUUUUUUCUCGCUCAUUUGAAUGCCAUAAAUUAAAAAUAAAAAAAGAUUACUUUAAUGCUAUAGGCAAUUUGUCUCUUUGGAAAAUUCAAUGUGGAUGCUAAUUGUCCUAUGUGGCAUUGCCAGGGACACGAAGACAAUUAAUAAUUUUUUUAAAUAAAAAAAUUCAGGUUGAGAUGGAAAUUUUUUUUAAAAAAUCCAUGUAUGACGAUUUGCUAGAAAUGACACUCAAUUGAUUGAUUUUAUUUUGAUGUGGCACUUAAGUGAGUGGAAAAAGAAGUUAUAGCAGUCAAAUGAGUGUGGUUUGAAAGUUAUGGCACUGUGCUAUUCUCAUCCUAAGCAUUUUUUUAUUUAUAAGUGAAGGUUGGGGAGGGCCAAUCAAUCAUAGCUAUCUCUCCAAAUUUUACUAUAAGAGUCUCACGUAGGCAAAUGCCUUGCAUUAUUUAAUUCUUUAUAACAUAAUAAUAACUAGAUACUUCUCAUGAAUGAUACCCGUUGCAUAUAAGAUCCAAGAUAUUUUAAAUUUAAUUUUCAACAAAUAUCGAAAAUAAAUAUCACUAGAACAGUUAUUAUGUACUAAUACACAAGUAGUAAUUAUAAUUACCUCCUCCGCCUUUCCUUUCUUCUUAACCACCAUAUAGCCCUUGACUCUAGAAACCCAUCAUACCACAAUAUUUUGCAGGUGCCAGAUUUUUUUUUUGUUUUGUCAGUCCUACUCUAUUCCUACUCUACACUCACGCUCAGACUUUUGCCCUGCCUCUUGCAGGGCGUGGGAGUCGAAACCCGCUCCUGAAACUUACGCGUCCCCACCCCCAUCCCCCCUGAGAAGGUGGGGAUUUAAACCCCUCACCUCCCCCUUCCAUGUUGGAAGGGUGGCCACUGGGGCGAAUCCUAGUUGUUAGGUGCUAGAUUCAAGAUCAUUUUUUACUUUUUUUUUCUUCUCUUUCUUUGGAAAUUCUGAUGCAUUUAGAAGUGACAUCCAUAAAAUAGGUUUAAAACUAAAUUAAUAUUUUUUCCAAAAAUAUAAAUGAUCACUCCUUCAACAAACAUGUAUAUAAGCAUUUUUGGGAUAAGUAUACUAAAAGUGCCAUAACUUUCGUAUGAGACUUAAGGGCCAUAAAUUUGAAAACUCAAUCAUUUAAGGACCAUCGGCAAUUUGUCUCGCUGGAAAAUCCAACAUGGAUGUCGGUUAUCUUACAUGGCAUCAUCAGUGCAGAUGUUGUCAAUUGAUAGAAAAAAUUCAAAAAUAAAAUAUAAAUCCAUGUCAUAAUAGGAAAUUAAUAAAUAAAAAAAGUCUAUGAAGGAUAAUUUGCCUACAUGAUUAAUUUUAUUCUGAUGUGGCACUUAAGUAAGUGAAAAAAAGUUAUCGCAUUUAAGUGAGCGCUGUAUGAAAGUUAUGGCACUCCUAUUGUUAUUGUCCCCAUGUUCUCAAUAGGUUUUUAUACAUAUAUUAUUAGCCAGAAAUAGACAUUAUAGGGAUGCCAACUUUUGAAUGUUGAGAGGAUUAUGCUUCCAUCUAAUUGACGGAAAGACGGAAAACGACAUGCUUGUCAUUAAACCUUUUAAAACGCAUGUCAUAUCUAGAAAGUUGAAUCAGAGUUACCAUUCAAAGUUGAAUUAGAGUUAAAAUUUGAAUGUUGGGAGGAUUAGACUUUCAUCUAUUUGAUGGAAAACGACAUGGUUAUCAUUAAACCUCUUAAGAUGCAUGCCAUAUUUGGAAAGUUGAAUCAACGUUACCAUUUAAAGCAGGGAAAAGGACACCAUGCUAUAACUUUUGUACAGUACUCACUUAAGUGUCGUAAUUUUUUUCUGCUUGUUGUUAUAUAUUUUUCAAUUAGUCACUUGAGUAUCAUGACCUUUUAAAAAUGCUCACUCAAGUGCUAUGCCACGCUGGACUUCCAGUACUAAGGUAAAUGUUUUUAAAAAGUUUUAGCGCUCAAGUAAUUGAUUCAAAGUUAUUGCACUCAAAUAAUCUUUUUAUAUAAGUUAUGACACUCAAAUGAUCGAAAAAAUAGUUAUGGUACUCAAGUAGUUGAAAAUAUAUGAUUGUUCCAAAGCUAAAGCCGUUCGUGUUAUCAAGCAUAGAAAAUUCUAAUUUUACCAAUGAGCGAGAUUUAUUUCCUUUUAUGCUAGGUGGACUCGUUGAUUAAGUCUAUUAUGGAUUGUUAUCAUAGUAUUAGCUAGCAAUUGCCAUUAAAGGGAUGCCAACUCAGUAAUGUUGAGAGGAUUACACCAUCGUCUUAUUGACGGAAAAUGACAUAUUUAUCAUUAAACCUCUUAAAACGCAUGCUAAUACAUGGAAAUCCAAAUCAGAAUUAUCAAUCAAAAGAGGAUUACCAAUCAAAGAGGGAGUGGUGCAAUUUUUUAAGCAAUGCUUUGGCCUGUAAAAUCUUAUAAAUGGCCACCAUUUUUCAUUUUUCUAGCAAUAUCAUUUGAAUUUACAUUGAUUUUGCAGGGUGAGACAUGAAGGGCAAAACAACUGGAGCAAAGAGGAUGAUCGAGGGUGUCGAUGCACAACGAGUUGCCUUCUCGAAACGGCGACCAGGACUCUUCAAGAAAGCAAGCGAACUAUGCACUCUUUGUGCCACUGAGAUGGCGAUUAUUCUCUUCUCUCCUAGCGGCAAGCCUUUCUCCUUUGGACACCCUUCUGUGGAUGCAGUCCUUGACAGGUUUGAGCAUCCACAGACGGUUUGUCCUACUGUCACUCAGGCUCAAACUAAUGGAGACCAGACCUUAGUUGAACUGAACAGACAAUACGCAGAUGUGCUCGAGCGACUGGAAGCCGAAAAGAAACGGGCAAAAGAGCUCCAACAUAUUAAGCCUCUGGAAAUCGAAAACCUUAGCUUCGAACAGUUAAUGGUAUUAAAGAAGGCGCUGGCAGAUCUCAAGGAAAAGGUGGACAAGAAAAGGAUGGAUCCCUUGGCAUUAGAAGCUUCAACUUCAACUCCUUGCGAAAGAGCUAUUGAUGCCUCUGUCAUUAGCCAAUUUGAUGGCAAACACUUCGAUCCUCGUGAAGCAAAUGUUGGUGAGGAGUAGUCAAUAUUAGCAGAACUAGGGGAGAGAUUGUUGUCAUAUCUUAAAUGGUUGAUGUAGUCAAUCCCUCCUCACAAUAAGCAAUAAAAAAUUUUCUUUUUUAAGGUGCUAUUUUUCAAUAUAGCAUCACGAUAGCAAUUUUUCAAAGAAUACAACUAGCGUUAAUGUAACAAAAAUAUAUAAAUUUAGAUUAGGCAAAAAACACAAGUUAUGCUUCUCAUAACCGAGAGCGACGAUGCUAUAUUGAGCUUAUUGAUCUGGGCCUAUGACGUGCGUAUUAUCCAUUAUAUUAGUGAUUUUUGUUUACCUGGGAUUUAGGAACAUAAAGGAGGUUCCUUAAUAAUUAUAAAUAAAUAAUUUACUUCUUAAGUUCUCUAUUUCUUGGACUUAUUACAUUGGGAUUUAGUUUUUGAACUUACGAAAAAACAAUUAAAUGCUUGUACUUAGUGUUGGAUGCAAAUUGCGCAAUUCCAAUAUCUCUAUAACUAGAACAAGAUCGUGCAUAAUUGAGUAGAAAAUGUUAACGCACCUGUUUUGGGAUCCAUCGUUCUUGAAGCGGAAGCGGAAACACAAUGUUCCGCGCGCAAGUCCUUCUCCUCUAUUGCCUUUUAUAUCACUGGCUUAAUGAGGCGACCCCCCUCACGUUUAGCAUUAGGUAAAUUCUUCUUAGGUGAGGAUAUAUGUGAGAAUUAUAGUUAGAUGAGAGAUUUGAGCACUAUUUAUAGAGUUUCUAGCCAAGCCCCCUCAUUACGGGUCAGGCUCAACUCGGCCCACUCUAACUAGUCCCAUAUUAGAUUAAUUAAAAAACAUUCUAUCUCACCUUAGACCAAUCAUGUUUUACGGUAACCAUAAAAACAAUAAAUUACAAUAUUGAUUAAUGUAGUCCACAUUAGGAAAACUCUUACAUUCUUCCACUUGGACUCUAUUAAUUGAAAUUUUUACUGUAUGUGUGCACAUUGGUCCAUAAAUAAUUCUUAAUAGUCAAUCAUAUUCCAUAAAGUCUUAAACAUCGAAUUAUGGCGGUAACUGCAUAUAUAUACAUAGAUCCUUCCAUGGUUACGAAUGUUCUCAACUUUAUUGAUAUAGAUUCAAUAUGAUAGUAUGACAAAUGGAUAACAUCUCUCAUAGAGAGAUCCCAUUUGUUAGUCACCAUUCUCUUACCUUAAGCGUCACAAAAAACUUGUGGCACUAAAGAAUGUCUUUAUGGUUCCAAUGAACCCAUAUAUAUCUUGUUCUUACGGUUAACCAUUCUUUAUGUAUCACAAGAAUAUGCAUAAGGCUAAUAACCAGAUGCCCCUAAAACAGAUAUAAACUUUAUUAAAAAAUAAAACACAGCUCCCACUAAAUAAUAGCAUCCCAAGAUGCUCCUACACCCAUGCUAAUGAUAUGUCGAUCAAAUACACAUGGGCGUAGGCCUUUAGUUAGUGGAUCUGCAACCAUAUUAUUUGUAGGAAUAUAAUCUACUGUGACGUCACCAUUCUGCACUGAUUCCUUUAUAGUAAAAAACUUGACCUCUAUGUGUUUAGACUCCUUGAGACUUAUGUCGUUAUUAAAAAGCAACACUACAGAGUUAUAGAGUUAUUGUCACAAUAUAAUUGUAUGGGUCUAUCUACAAAAUCAAGAACUGAUAACUCCCUAAUAAGGUUCCGGAGCCAAAUAGCUUGAGUAGCAGGUGGAAAACAUGCUACAAACUCCACUUGCAUGGUAGAAGAAUAUAUAGAUUUUUGUUUUUCGCUCUUCCAUGAUACUGCACCUCCUACCAACAUAAAUAUAUAUCCUGUCGUUGACUUCUUACCAUCUUGACAACCAGCAAAAUCUGCAUUUGAAUACCCUGCUAGUUGCAAGUCUGGAACAUAUUUAUAAAUCAGCAAAUAAUCUCUUAUUCUCUUUAAGUACCUUAAAACCUUCUUGGUAGCAACUCAGUGAUUACAUCCUGGAUUUGACUAAUAUCUGCCUAGAAGUCCUGUUGCAAAAGCAAUAUCUGGUCUAGUGCAAACUUGAGCAUACAUGAUACUUCCAAGCACAUUAGCAUAAGGUACAUUCUUCAUUUGAGCUUUCUUAAAAUCUGAAUUAGGGCAUUGUGAAAGACUCAAUUUAUCACCUUUAACAACAGAGCAAUUCCUGGUUUGCAAUCCUACAUAUUAAAUCUUUCCAAAAUGCGAUCAAUAUAUACCCUCCGAGACAAACCCAAUGAAUGGUGUGAGUGAACCCUAUGGAUCUCAAUCUUAAGAAUAAAAGACGCCUCACCAAGAUCUUUCAUAUCAAAAUUUUUCAAUAACAUCCGCUUUGUCUCAUGUAGUAAACCAAUAUCACUACUAGCAAGUAAUAUAUCAUCUACAUAAAAUAUGAGAAAAAUAUAUUUCCUCCCACUGACCUUAGUGUAUAUACAUCGAUCUACUUUGUUCUCAAUAAAUCUGAAUGAAGUGACAACACUAUGAAACUUGAAAUACCACUGUUAAGAAGCUUGCUUAAGGCCAUAAAUAGACUUUUUCAAUAUACAAACAAGCUUACCUGAGUCAUCUGCUGCAAAACCUUCAAGCUGCACCAUAUAAACCUCCUCAUUAAGGUCUCCAUUUAGAAAAACAGUCUUAACAUCCAUCUGGUGUAACUCUAUAUCAAAAUGAGCUAUCAAUGCCAAGAUCACUCUUAAGGAAUCUUUAGAAUAAAUUGGAGAAAAUGUUGCUUCAUAAUCUAUUCUUUCUCUUUGAGUGAAACCCUUAACUACCAGUCUAGUUUUAAACUUUUCAAUCUUUCCAUUGAAAUCCAUUUUAGUCUUGAAUACCUAUUUGCAGCCAAUAAGUUUACAACCUUUAGGCAAUUCAACAAGCUCCCAAACACCAUUGUGUUUCAUAGAUUACAUCUUAUCUUUCAUUGCAUCUAGCCAUAAAUCUGAUUGAGGACAUGAGAUCACAUCCGUAUAAGUUACUGGAUCAACAACACAACCAAUAUCAUAAUUAUGCUCUUCUAGGUAAACAACAUAGUCUGGUGGUAUAACUGAACGUCUUUCCCUAGUUGAUCUUCUGAGUGGAGCUACUUCAACCUCAUUUUGAAUUUGAGAGGCUUAAGGAAUUUCAUUAGGAACUAUCUUAACAAUAGGAUCUUGGGCCACAACAGGUUCAGUCUGUGGCGCAAGAGGCUCCAUAAUUGUCUACACAAUAUGAGACAGGAUCUAGUAAUCCCCACCAUACUAUCAUCUUCGAUAGCUUGUGAGCAGCUACCAUUUUCAGCUACAUCAAAUUCAAGAAAUUUUGCAGUAUGAGAUUCCACAAUUCUUGUACCUCCAUUAGGGUUAUAAAAUCGAUAUCCCUUUGAAUGAUCUGGAUAAGAGACGAAGUAACACCAAGUAGUUUUGGAAUCCAGCUUACUCAAUGUUAGAUUAUAUAACUUUACUUAUGUUGGACAUCCCCAAAGUUUAAGAUGAUUCAAGCAAGGUUUACGUGCAGUCCACAACUCAAAAGAAGUUAAUGGAAUUGCUUUAGUAGGAACGUGAUUUAGAAUAUAAAGAGUUGUUUUCAAAACUUCACCCCACAGAAAAUUAGGUAAAUUGGUCCUACUAAUCAUGCUUCUCAUCAUGUCCACAAGAGUAUGAUUGCGCCUUCAGCUAUACCAUUUUGUUCAGAACUUUCGGGCAUAAUAAACUGACAUAUUAUCUCAGAAUCUCUAAGUAUUAGCAAACCACCUUUAAGUGUCCAGCAUCACCGUGCCUACCAAAAAUACUCCACCACCACGAUCAGAUGAUAAUCUUCAUAACUUUUCCCAACUGUUUCUCCACCUCAGUCCGAAAAAUCUUAAAUUUGUCAAGAGACUCGAACUUUUCUUUAAUCAAGUAUAUCCACAUCGGGAAUAGUCGUCAAUAAAUAUGAUGAAAUAAAAAUUUCUACACAAAUAGUUGUGUAUGGUCCAUUAAAUUAGUAUGAAUAAUCUCCAAUAAGUCAGAAUUUCGUAUGGUGGAUUUCUUCUUUAUUUUAGUCAUCUUACCUCUACAAUAGUCUACACAAAUCUCUAGAUCACCUUUAAAAGUAGGCAAAAUGUUAGCUUUUAUAAGUUUUUAUACUCUUUCUUUAGAGAUGUGAUCAAGACGUUUAUGCCACAGUGCAUAAGACUGUUUCUUAGGUAAAGGCCUUUUAAAAAUAAUUUUUUUUUAGAUGAAUAAGCAACCUACAUGUCGUUGGGAGAUAAGCUCAAUCGAUAUAAUCCAGUGGAUAAAUUGCAACACCCAAUCUUAUUUGAAUCAUAAAACAUGAAAAUAGUAUUAUUCUUUAUUUCAAAAGAGUAUCCACAUAUGUCCAAACAAGACACAAAAACUAAAUUUCGCCUAAAAGAAGGUAUGUAAAAAGUGUUUCUCAACACCAUCCUAAAACUAGAAUCUAAAAUCAAAAUAACAUUUCCCACAAACUUGACGUUAACUCCAAUGCUGCUUCCAACAGUAAACUUUGAUUCACCCUAAUUUGGCGUCCUUUGGUUUAUGAACCCAUGUAUGGUAAAUGUAACAUGAUUAGUUGCACCACUAUCUAGCCACCACGAAUUGGUCGCGACUUCAAAUAGAUUGGAUUCAUAAAUAAAUACCAAAGAAUUAUUACCUUUAGACUCACUCUUGAUUCUUUUAGACAACCAAGCCUUAAACUUGUUGCAGCGUUUCUUUACAUGUCCUCUUUCCCUACAAAAAUAGCAAAGAACACCAUCCUUCUUGGUGAAUGCUUUCUUAGGACCCAAACUGUUAGAGGGUCCAACACCAUCAUAAUUUCCUUUAUUAUUGGAAGGUCCAGCAACUUUAGAAUUGCCCUUAUGAGUAUAAUUUCUCACAUUCUUACCCUUAUCACCGCUAGAAUCAGAAGCAUAAAAGGCAAUGUGCCAUUUAUCUUUCUUCAAUUUUUCUUCCUCUGCCACCAGCCUUGCAAUUAGGUCAUUAAUUGACCAAGUUUCAUAGUGGGAACUAUAAUUAGUCUUGAUAAUCCCAAAAUCAGGAGGAAGAUUAUUUAGAGUUUGAUGCACAAUGCAAGCAUGGGAAUAACAACAUUGAGAGCCUUAAGCUUUGUCUGCAAAUCUACCAUUCUCAAAAUAUAAUCUCUAAUUCCACCAUAACUAUCAUACUUCAUAGUAAAUAAUGUUUGCAAGUAUGUUCCUAUCUCAGUAUUAGGUGAGAAACGGUUUCUAGCUAUUAAGGCUUCCAUCAUCUGCCUAGCAGUGCAGUCUGCAGGCAAACCACUUUUCAAGUGUUCAUGAAUGGAACGCUUCAUCGAUAGUAAGCAAAUUUUAUUGCUCUUUUCCUAUGCAGUAAAAUGAGCUUUCUGAGCUUUUGUACUCUCGGCAGUAAGAUCUGCUGGUCGAUCAACAAUAAGAGCCAUAUGAACAUCUGACAUCUCUAUAGCAAACGGGAAAUCUUCUCUCAAUUUUUUAAAGUUUGAACUAACAAGAACCUCAAUAGUGACGGAGUUACCGUUUAUAGAAAAUGUGACUAAAAGACAAGUAGUGUAUAUAAUUAGCAUCAUGUGAGUAUUGUGUAACUUGACGUACAAGUACACAUCCAAAGAGUUACAUGCAAAAUCACAUAAUCACCUUUGGACAGAAUACAUGACAUGCAAUUGUACACUCCUCACAUGAUAACGGUUAUGGGAAUAUAUUUCAAUCUUCGUGAAUUCAUCACCUUUGGGCAUAUGAACCAUUAGAAUUAGUCACUCCUCCACCACACCAUCAUGUAUCCCUCAAUGAACUAAUACACAAUUAAAUUCUUUGGGAGUAUGACUAUGUAUUAAACUAGGAGAUAUCCCGAUCAAUAUAUGAGAUCGAAAUUUUUCAAACUCAACUAAAAUCACAUAUCAUACUAAUUAUAUUACCUUAUUCAUUAAUAAAAUACAAUAAAGUUUAAUUUUUAUUAAUGAACCUUAUUUUUAUAAUAUUUAUGUGAUAACAUACCAGUAACCCAAUACAUGUAUUUCCAAAAACAGAAAAUACAAGAAAAAUAUGCAAAAAUACACUAAAAAUACACAUAUUUAUGGCUUUGUAUAUAUUUUCACACCCAUAAAAUCAUCAAACAUGUAAAAUAAAUACACCGCAACAUAGAGGAUGAGCAUACGAGUCCAGAGCCACCGACCACGAGCCGAUCUGAGCUUCCAUGUGCCCGCAUGCACCGCCUGAGUGUGGGGCGCGUGGAGCUCAUGCCCUAGCGUCAAUGGCCGGUCAAAACCGGUCCGACCGGUGGUGGUUCGACCGAUUCCCGGUUUGACCAUUCGGUCCAGCUGCCCGGUCCAGUCAAUGGUUGAUCUAGUUGGGUCAGGUCAACGGGUCGAGUCGGCACCUGGGUUGGGUCCUGGGUCGUGUCGGUCGCCAAUCGAGUUGGAUCAGGUCUAGGCGCUAACGUCAUUGUGAUGUCAGCACCCGCGUGCUUAGCACAGGUGAGCCGCACCCCUCGUGUGGGAGUGCGUGAGGGUGCGUGCUCAAUGCCCAGAUGACACGUGGUCGAGCGUGGGGGUGCAUGACCACGCGUGGGGCGCGUGCUCGAUGCCUAGGUGGCGCAUGGCCACACGUGGGGGCGCGUGGGGCCUCCCUUGGCGACGCACUGCCCACAGUUUUGCUUGUCUCACAAAGCCUAGUAUGAAUAUAUAAUUUAAUUCUAUUUUUAUUUUAUGAAAAAUCUCGAAAAUCUCAAAUUAUGGCAAAAUCCUUUGCGUUUGUAUUCUAGGGUUAUGGAGGCGCUAAUAUCACAUGUUGGAUGCAAAUUAUGCAAUCCAAAUAUCUUCAUAAUUAGAACAAGAAUAUGCAUAAUUGAGUAGAAAAUGUUAAUGCAACUGUUUUGGGAUCCAUCAUUCUUGAAGUGGAAAUGGAAACACAAUAUUUCACGCACAAGUCAUUCUCCUCUAUUGCUCUCAGUAUCACUGGCUCAAUGAGGCGGGCCCCCUCACAUUUACCGUUAGGUAAACGCUCCUUAUGUGAGGAUAUAUGUGAGAAUUAGGGUUAGAUGAGAGACUUGAGCACUAUUUAUAGAGUUUCCAGACAGCCCCCCUCAUUACAGGCCAGACUCAACUCGGCCCACACUAGCCAGUCCCAUAUUAAACUAAUUAAGAAACAUUCUAUCUCACCUUAGACCAACCCUAUUUUACGGUAACCGUAAAAACAGUAAAUUACAAUAUCAAUUAAUAUAGUAUAUAUUAGGAAAACUCUUACACUUAGAUCUUAAUUGUUUCUUCUCUGAGAGGUCAUGUCUCUUUCAAACCACAAGUCUCAUGGUCAUACACCUUCUCAGCGUGUUUUUCAUAAUGCAUAGAAGUAUUUAAUUUGUUGGAAAGUCCGGAUUUAUGGGCUCAGUCAAGUGCGUCUUUUUAUUUGUUACGCAAAUUACUAGUGUGAACAUUAGAGUCAAGGAUUGUAUAGACAAAUUAUUCAUGUUGCACUUUUGAGUUCUAGUAUAUAUAUGUGAUGAAAUUUAAUUUGUUGGAAACUCAGACCCAUCACAUGUUUAAGCUUAUUUAACAGAACUUUUACUCGAAAUGACCAAAUUUAAAUACUUAAUCUACAAUUAUAAUUUUUAUCUUUACAAUCACUUUAACUAUUUGAGAGCAAUUCAAAAGGAAAAAUUACCCAAUUAGUCCAAGACCUAUUCUAUUAAUGUUAACUCAGUUUUAAAUUUUUCAAAUUUUCCAAUUUAGUCCUAAGUCAUUGUACAAAAUUCAAAUGUAGUCCUUCUGGCCAAUACCAAAAAUGGUUGAUGUGGUGGUCCAUUUAUUGUUGAUCAUCUUAUAUGGCACAUCACCACGUCUACGAUUUUUGGUGAAAAUUUGCGGAAGGACUAUAAUUAAUUUUUUUACAAAAAUUUAUAACUAAAUUAGCAAGAUUGAAACAAUUUAGGAUUGAAUUGGCAUUGUAUAAUAAAUUUAGAACUAAUUAGACAAUUUCCCUUUAUUCAAAGAAUAUACACAUAGGGAUAAUUUUUUUGGUUAUAUCUUCUUAAUUUUCAUUGAGGAAAGUUGAGUACGAUUUGUUUUUCUUUGUUUGAAUCAAUAAAAGGGGAUGGAAAGUAAAAGUGAGAAAUUUGGUGGGACCAUUGUCAUCACAAAAUUUUCUAAAAACUUAUGCUGUUAGUUAAGGCACGAUUUAUUAUUUAAAUAUUAUAACACUCCCUCUCAAGCCUGGAAAUUUAAUUGGGGAGGCAAAUGAGGCUUGAAAGAUUCAAACUCAAGACUUCCAGCUCUGAUAUCAUAUGAGAUUUGGUGGGACAAUUUCCAAUUGUUCUAAAAGUUUAAAUUGUUAAAUGAAUGCGUAGUUUAUUGUUUAAAUAUUCUUUAAAAAAAAAGAAUGAGAAAAUCAUCUAAACCGUUAUAUACUUCUCAUCUUGAAAUUGGCAAGAAAUAAAAGGAAAUGUGUUUCUUACACAUCUGUCUACCGAAUCACGUUUCCUUUUUAAGUGUUAAUUAACUAUUAGGUUUUCCUCCUAUAAAAAAAUUAAGGAAAAUAACACCUUGACCCUUCUUUUUUGUUGAGAGGCCAGAUCUUUGUUCACUUGUUAACUCACAUUCAUCAAUGUCAUUGCUCCGCAAAAUCUUUUUCCAGUCAUUUAGGCUAAGUACAUGACCUUUCGACAUUGAUGAUGUCACGUCCCGAUCCACGAGCACGUGCCCAUCCCUCAGUGGUCGAUGUAACUGCGACGUCCUAGGAUGUGUCACCGAUCUAUUUCAUUUUAAUGCACAUGCAGAAGUGAAUGAACAAAUCUCUUGAUAGCAAACAACAUGGGAUAGAAUGGCGGGAAAAUAGAUUCACAAACGAAACACACAUUUAUAUACAAAAGUCAAUCUCCAAAAGGUGUCCUAAUUGACCUACAUCUUAGAUACCCUCAGCUUGGCUCUAGAUCCUCCACUCUACGGUCUUGAAAAAAAUUGAGCCUAUGAUGAGGUGAGAUAUAAAUCUCAGUGAGUUCACGCUCUAAAUCCCGAUUAGGAAGGUAAUAUGCCUAGAGACGUCCUAACCACACAACCGUACAACCAUGGAGACUCACCUUGCCUUAGUUCAUUCCUGCAUGUAAGCACAAUUCAUAUCACAGACAUGAGCAGUAAUCAAACGCAAUCAAUUAGAACGCCACAUUUUAUAUUUCACACAGCCACAUGGGUCCCAAUUAUAAGACAAAAUCAUUAUAACACGUCUCAUACCGUGUCACACAAUUUUAUCCCAUAAUCUGGUGCCUCUAACUCAAUCAAUCAUGCAUUCCUAAUUUUAAUCUCGACCCAAUGGGCACGGCCUACUCGAUGUUCGGCGGUCUUCUAGCAUAGCCAAGCGUCAUCUCAUCCCAUUGAGCACAGCUACGUCUACCUCAAGACGGCUUUUCACAUAGGAGCAUCGGUCCAGCUUCUACUGUGAUCGAUAUUAAGGCUUUCCACAUAAGAGCAUCGUCCACGCAAUGCACAUCGAGUGAUGAGUUCUCCUAACCAUCACUCGCACAUCCAAUCUUGAUCAAGGAUGUUGUGCAUUGCACUCAAAUGCCUCAUUUAAAAUGAUGUGCUUGGCUUAUUUUCUUUGUAUUAAAAACACCCAGUGAAAAUAAUCGUAUGUAGGUACAUGGUCAGUUUGAGCCAAAAAAUGCGAUAUCUUCCUUUUUAAAAAUUCUACUAUUUAAUAUAGUACCUAAAAAAAUCUUUAGCAUUAAAACCCGACGCUCGGUAUUUUCUGAUUAAAAUACCAAAAUUUCACAAUUUUGAAAUAAAUACCCAAAACCACAACCACAACUCAAUUUGCACAAAUUAACAUUCAAUUGCAUAAACUAAACACAUUAUUGCAAUCAGCACGAAAUUUUGGUCACCGGCUAUCCCAGUUUUUUGCUAGAAAAUAUUUAAUAAUUAAAUAAUUAGCAAAAUUAAUUAAGUAAAUACAUAUUAAUUCAAUAAAUACUAACUUAGGCUAAAAAUUGCUAAUCUAACCACCUGUGGGACUAAUUAAUUAUACUAACUAUUCUAACUACAAGGCCACAUAAUAAACUAACUAAUUACAAUUUCUAACCACCUAAUUCACUAAUUUAACCAACCUAAAUGAACUAAACAAGCUAAUAACUACACUAAUCAAAUAUUAAUUUAAUUUAAACACCAUUUAAGCAUAAUUAACUUCAUAAGCACAGUUUAAUAAGUAAACUCAUCGAUUUAGCAAUCCGAUGAGUUCACGGCGACGGCGGCGCAACGGUGGCCAAAACUCGGGCUUACGGCGACGCCAAUGGGAGCUUGGAUCGGGCCGAAAAAUGGCCCACAAGGCUCACGGUUGCUGCUGGUCUUGACGGGGGUUAGUAGUUUUGGCUUGGCUCAACUAAUGGCCACGGGUGCUGUUGGAUCGGGACGGCGGUUGGUCGCAGAGAGUCACUCAAUGUUGGUGGUUGCUGAGUUAGUGCGGUUGCUGGGCAUGAGGGCUAGUGGUUAGCAUAGCAACAAGAAGAUGACGCUAAAGGUGGCGGUGGUGUGGUGUAAAGAAGAAGGUGGUGCUAGCGUGGAGAUGGUGGCUGCUCGUUGGUGGGGUGGUGAAGUCUUGGUGGCUGGUGGGCUGUUGGAAUGAUGGAGUGGUGUGCGGCUGUGGGGAAGAGAAAUGGAGGGAAGGAAAGUGGGUUGCUGUAGAACAAAAGAAAGGGAGGGAUGAGGAAGAAGAGAGUGUGGCAGAUNNNNNNNNNNNNNNNNNNNNNNNNNNNNNNNNNNNNNNNNNNNNNNNNNNNNNNNNNNNNNNNNNNNNNNNNNNNNNNNNNNNNNNNNNNNNNNNNNNNNUAAAAAAAAAAGUUUAGGAUGAAAUUGGCACAAUUGCAAUAGGUUUAGGACUUUUUUGGUAAUUCUCCCUAAUGGGAUAUGUACGAGGAAUCGGCUCAUAAAAAGCACUGAUGGACUUGAGACGAGGGCCAUUGCAACUCCCAUGAAACCCGACAAUUUUGCUGCCGGUGUAUGGAAAUGAAAAAUGCUUCCCUUUAUUAGCUGUUUGGAUCGGUCCAUGAUCCCUUCUAUUAGUACAGAUUGUCAUUGACUGAAGAAUGGUGAGUCUAGAAACUUCAGUGUAGCCCGAGAUAGGUGUCAAGUACUCACUUGGAUGGUUAAGCUUAAUCAAGGAAAGAAAAAGGAUAAAAAUUAAAGAAUUCAAGAACAACUAUCUACUUUAACAAUGAAGAGAUAGACCUUACGAGAAACUAUAAAGCAUUGAGGACAUCAACAAAGUCACAUUCUAUCCUGAAGAUAAUGUUGAUGAUAUUUAUUCCAUAGCUCAUCGCAUAUGUUUUGCCUCCUCCAAUUAGGCCAUGUAUGAACGGGCCAACUUGAAGUCCGUGUUUAUCAUAUAAGGCAGAGAUGGACUUAAUUGCAAAAUCGAAGCCUCUGAUGACUUGCCUCACAUCCAUUUAUUUUCCGUCGUCCCAAAUGUCUGGACCACCAUCACCACCAAAUGGUCCCACGACAUCGAAUGGAUCGGCGUGAGAAAAUGGCCCAAAAUGGGCUCCGAUUGCAUGGAGAUGGCUGCUACAUUUUCCAUGAAACCCGAUAAUCCGUCCACCAGAAUGUGAGAGAUCAAAAGGCUGUCCACUUUCUGAACCAAAUGGUCCGUACGUCUUCUUGCUGCUGUGGAUCUUGAGAGACCGAACAACGUCAUGACCAUCCUUAUCAUCAAUAUGGCCUGAUACAGAAAUCAGGUAUUCACUUGGGUGAUCCAAUAUGACCAGCUGCAAGAAGUGCAAAAGUUCUUGUAAGCGUUAACAUCAUCACAUCAAUCUAACAUCUAAUAUAUGUUGCCUUUGCGUUUUUUUUUUGGAUCAAUAUAGUUCCUUUAUCACUUGACCAAAUUCGGUUUAAGUACUAGUCCCUAAUAGAAAAAGGAAAGAUGGAAAGUUUUGAGUUUAGUGUUUUUUGCUAUAAGUAGGUCCUUGAGCAAACCUACUACAUCCGGUUUUGCUGCAAAUGAAAGGCAAGACAAUAAAGUCUCAUAAACAAAGCAAAGGGAGACGAAGUAAAUACAUAAAAGUAAAAAAUAAGAAAAAGGAAUGAUGGGAUUUAUACCUUCAUACAUGGCAAAGUUACGCAAAAUAGUAACACACAAACACCUCCGUAGAAGUUUACACAUGUUGGCCAUCAUCUCCUGACUACCUUACAUUCUUCUAUCUAAUUACUUAGCAGUAGAUUCUAUUAUCGACGCACAGAAAAUGAUGUUAAACUUGUAGUUGGUUUUAUUUACCUUCUUAUAAGCGAUGAGUAAUAAAGUACAUAUGAGUCUAUUAGAGUGGCAGAAAACUGACCCUUUCAUUGUCAUGGACAUGUCCACCAUGAUGGACAGAUCUCCCUAGACACCCGUUCUGAUCAUAAUCGAUGGUGAUGGAAUCAAUGACUGACUGCCCAUAACGCCUAAUUUGCCUCAUACCAGUGUGUGCACCAUCAUCAAAAGCAUCAUCGCCUUGACCUUCAUAUAGCCCAACGAACCAGAAGGAACGACAGGACAAAUCGAGAUAAGCGCUUCUAAUUAACUUCUCCAAUAUCUGGUGCCAUUGUUGUUUGGACUUGCCGUUUGGGAAUGAGCCAAACCUUUUAAGAGACAACGGAUGACCUCUUGCAUAAUGAGCUAGAAUUCGGGACAAAUCCUCAUAGCCCCCUUGAGGUUCUUCUCUCAUCAAGGCAUGGUGACAAAAGAGCCGAAGCGCUACAUCCGGGCCCAGUCCUUUGACGAUAAACUCGUCGUCUACCUUGAGAUCUUUCAGCAAGUUUUGGUCUCUGCUUGUGAACAAGAUUCUGCUCUUGGGACACAGCAGUUCAUGCUCUCCGGCCCCAAAGUAGUCCAUCUGGUUUUUCCUAGUAACAUUAUCAAGAACAAGAAGUAUCCUUUUAUGACUUAAGUUAUCCUUUAUCUUAUUGAUGUUGGUCUGAAUGUCGUCAUACGUCCUCCAUCCUUCCACCUUUUUGAGAUCACGGAGCAGCUUCUUUUGCAGCCUGAUAGAAACACAACAUUGUGAUCUGCUUCUCUGAUUUUGUCAGAGAAAUGAAACACUCAAAUCNNNNNNNNNNNNNNNNNNNNNNNNNNNNNNNNNNNNNNNNNNNNNNNNNNNNNNNNNNNNNNNNNNNNNNNNNNNNNNNNNNNNNNNNNNNNNNNNNNNNNNNNNNNGGAAAUCAACUCUUCUACCAACAAUUCCACUCCAAUUGCACUUUUCACACCGUAGUGUGGCCGAGUUCCGCGAAUUUUCUUGACAAGGUACUCUACUAUUAUGUUCACAAGUCUCCUUUCAUCCCUGAUGUUAAGUGGAGUUAAGACUAUAAGAGAAAUAAACGUAAAUAUGUGCACCAAGAGACAUAAUAUUUAAGAUUUUACGCGUACAUAUUAGUAAAAAACGGCCAACUUGACUAAUUCAUUGUUUGUUAUUAAGUUUUUCUGCUGAUUUAGCGUGCGGAUAUCUCCAGUUAUUUUAAAUCAGAACAAAAUGACAUGUCCCCUGUUUUUUAAUCUCAGAUCAUUUCCUCACUGGGGAUUCGUUGUCUAUGCAUCGUUACAGAGGUUAGUUCUUCUUUACUUUUUUUUUUCUCUUUUUUUUUUUUUUAAUGAGCAAGAGUAGACUUGUAGUUUUGGUCCUGAGCAGGACCUUAAAAGGCUCAAGGGAGGAAUAGGCGGGAGAACCGCCCUGGGGUGGGAGACCCCAUUCUGGUUCCCGUAAAGGCAUGGGUUAGGGCCUUGAAAAGGAUUCCUAACCCCACUGCUAGACCGGCCAUAGUCCCCCUCUACGGGGGACCUGAUAGCACACCUGAUUCCCGCGACGCCUUCCCCCUUGAAACACAGAGGCGUGGUACAGGAAAAUGAUGGUGCUCGUCCAAAAGGACUUAAAUCAUAGGGUGGGUAGGAUAUUCUUAUUGGAAAAAAAAAUUCUAGAUACCUUUUAAUAUUUGGUUGUCAAAUGAUUGUCAGUUUCUCGUAGUUCUGUAAUUUGAUAAAUGAUAUCAUAAUAACUAAAUAUUAAAUCACAUAUUUAUCUAACGGUUUAAACUUGUAAAUGUCAAUGAUCCUAAUAAAAUCUCACAUGGCAUCGGAACAUGAGAUCCUAGGUUCAAAUCUUUUCAGGCCUUGUUUUGCCUCCCUAAAUAAAUAUGUCCAUACUUAGUACUAGGCAAAAAGAAUAGACUAAGUGUGAGGGAUACCGUUAGAAUAAUUAAAUAACAGUUUAAAUUUUUAGAAUGGUUUAUAGUGAUUCUACUAAAAUCUCACACAUGAGGUUUACAUAGACGGCGAAUUGAACAUAUAUUUACUAAAAUUGCAGAAAACAAAGAAGACAAAGCAAUAUGUAGAGGCAAUGAGGGGAGCUGGCGAUGUCCUAAAACCAUUCUAGCACCACCCCUAUAACUUUCGCAAGAGUCCUGCGGCCGCUAUCUCUAGAGACAGUGUCGCGAGCACACAUUGCAACGAUGAGCAUAGUAGCCAUCGCUGGUACUUUCAAGAUGAGCACAGAGGUGACAGACAAUUGAAAGUCAGCCAUCCUUGAUGACAUCGAAAGAUGGUUUUCGGGGAGUUUUGAAAUGAGAAGCAUAUUUAUCAUACAUAGGCGUAAUAUCACGAAAAACUCCAAAUUAGUAAAUUUGUGAUAAAUUCAUUCCAAACUAAUUUUUUGACAAAAAAAAAUCUCAAACCGGUAUACUUUUAACAAAUUUACCCUAAACUAAUAUAUUUAUGACAUUUACUGCGACAUCCUCAAUCUGACCCCUGUCUAUGGAGCAAAAUUACAAUAGAAAAUUAAUGGACCAUAGAAAAGCUAUGAAUGGCUACCUUAGGAUGAAAACUCAAUUUUUCAUCAGCGGAUCGUGAAAUUUCAAAAAAGUGGAAAAGAGCCGCAAAUGAGGAGCUAAGAUGACCCUAAGGCAUGGAUGGGCCCAUUAGCGCUCACGCCCAUCUUGGUUGGCCCAAGGGGACGCACCAAGCCAUCCAAGCCCAUUCUUGAAUUUUUGAAGCAUGCACAUUUAAUUUGCCCAUUGCAUGAAUAGUAAUUGGACUAUAAUUUGGUUUAACUCCUAAAUUGCUCCUUCUAGAAACUAGUUAGCCUAAUGAGGUAAUUUUGUUGGCAUCCUAAGGGGGAAGGUUGCGCCCAUGAAGGAGGAAGAAGAGAGAGACAAACUUGGUUUGUUUUUCUAGUUCAUUCACAAUUAUGACACAUGCACAAUAUCUCGCCAUUAAUGAACUUGGAUAGGAAUGCUUCAUGAAGCAAUUGUAGCCAUGCAAAAGGUUGGCCAAUAGUGAAUUAAGAAGAUUGUUUGCAAGCUCAUUAAUGCUUGGAAAGGGAAAAAUCUUGAUUGAGCUCAUUUCUCUCAUUCUCUCUUACUCUCUCUCUCUCUCUCUCAAACUAAACCCUCUUUCAUUCUCUCUCUCAGCUCACCUCUCCCUCGUGCUAUCUCUCUCUCAUUCUCUCUUGGUCUCUCACAUCGCCAUCGUUUGUUGCCCCUUGUUGUUGUUAUUACCGAGUGACCAUCCAUUGCUCCAUGCUUGUGCCGCCAUUUGCCUCAUUAUGAACCACCAUCCACCACCCUUUGCCGCCCUUGCCGAGCUGCCCUCAUGCCCAUGAUGCAUCAUCGAUGUCCUUCACCGUGAGCCAUUGGGAGUCAUUGCAAGCUGCUAAGCUAGCGCCGCAUCUUGCCAAGCCACUGCCAUGCGUCAAGCUGCCACCCUCGUCAUCUAUGCCGUGAGUGAUGAGCCUCGCCAUCAUCGCUCACCAUAAAGCUCAAAGAUCCAGCCCCAUAAGUAACUUCCUAACCCUUGUUUAGGGUGGUGGUUACGCUUAGGAUUAGGGUUAUGUUAGGGUUAAUGAUAGUUAGAUUAUGUGAUAAGUGGAUUAGGAUGAUAGCUUAUUACUGAUAAGUGAUAAACCAAGGCGAUAGGUUAUCAUGAAUAGUGAUAAAUACAAGUGAUAACCUAUUGUGAAUAGUGAUAAAUGCAUAUGAUAGGUUAUCAUGAACCCUAACAUAACCCUAUCGUAAUUAGUGAUAAGUAUAUGUGAUAGGUUAUCAUGAAUAGUGAUAAGUACAUGUAAUCGGUUAUCGUGAAUAAUGAAUAGUGCAUACGAUAACUUAUUUAUAAGGGUCAUAAGUGCUUAUUAUAUACUAACUUUGAAAGUGAUAAAUACUUAUUAUAUCUUAGUUUUAAAAAGUGAUAAGUGCUUAUUAUAUCCUAAUUUUAAAAAGUGAUAAGUGCUUAAGAUGUUCUAUUUUAAAAUGAUAAGUGCUCAUGACAUCCUAUGUUCAUAAAUGAUAAGUAGUUGUGAAAUAUUAUUUUGAAAAGUGAUGUGCUAAGUUGAUAAAUGAACUCAUGAUGUGAUAUAUGCUAUGAGGUUAAUGCACAGUUAUUUUGGUGGAUAAAUAAUCAAUGGGCGAUCAUGCGGAAUUAUUUCAUGACAUUUUUUUGUGCAACGGUUGUUAAUAAUGUGUGAGCACUAAAUACACUUGCAUUGGCUAAUUAGAAAGAUGAAAAUUGGCUUGAGUGGUUGAUGUGCUUAUGUGAUCACAUUAAUGGUUUUGUACUAGUAUGAUUACGAGGGACAAUGUCGGAUAGAUUUCGGAUGUCCCUACAUCAAUGGGAUGCUAUUCACGAAUGAAUUUCGGAACGAAGCUCCUUAAAUGGAAUGCCGUCUUUGAGUGAGGUCGAGACGUUGUCGCGCCUGAUAGGGAGGACGAUGCUUGAUUAUGUCAAAAGAUCACCGACAUGAGUGCCAGUUGUGGCUGUGAGCGGUUGUAAUAAUCUAGAUUCAUGUGGAUGCAUUGUGCAUGGAAGGGAUAAUGUCAUGUCUAAAUUACUAUGCAUGAAUGUCAUAUACUUGCUGAAAUUGUACGCUCACGUGGUGAUAUAUCUAUGUAGUUAUUAGAUAUUGUGUUAGGGCAUUGUAUGGUCAGUUGGCAUUUCAUGCUUAUAGAUAAUGCAAAGUAAAAGCUUUGUUAUUGAUUUGCCAUUGACAAUUAAGCUACACAUAUAGGUUGUCUCUAAGGCGAAGUACUCUUCUACACAAGAUUUAGGGAGCUUUUUUUAUUUAUUUAUUGAGUAUCUCACUUAUUAUUAUUUAAACUUUUUAGGCCUUCAUCAUGACUAGUUCGUUCCGCCAUGUUCACUUUGGGGUGCCUAUCAACCAGGACACCCAAGUGACCCUCUACCCAAUUCAGGGGACAUACGUAAUUUACAAAAAGCAUGUGCUCAUCAUCUAGGUAAUUGAAGGGCUAGCUAAACUGAUGCCCCAUGGUUUAUGGCUUGGUAUGUGUGGUUUGGAAGGGAGCUAUUCAGCCCUCUCCGAGGUUUUUAACGGACUGCUGGGUGGGGGAUUUGGGCCUAUUUGGGACCCUAUGGUCGUGGAUGUCGCAAAGGCACCAUCACUGACCCAGAGGCAGCCCAUAUUUGAAGUCGAACUUCGAGCUUGAGCCAUGGUACUAUAACCUAGACAUCUACUAUAAUCUCCAACCCCCGUUUGGCAAGUUGUAAGGAAUCUGCACCACAUAUGUGUGAAUAUGUAACUUCUGAUGUGUAAAUGCAAAUAUGUAUAUAUGAAAGUGUGUGUUGUUGUGUUUGAUGCUAUCCCUCUUAUUGUGUAUGAUUGGGUGAAGUUGAAUCUACUUCCACUUGCGUAUAAUUCGAAAAAUAAAAUGAAUGGGUCGGUAAUGUCUUAAGAGAUGCUAUAAUUAAAUGACCAAAGGAAAGGAAGGGAUGCUGCGUGUUCAAGGGUCAAGGUAUGAUAUCUCGCUCUUUUGUUGGUAUGAGAGCAUGGUCAUUAUUGGAGUGAUGAGAUGUGUUGAGACUUUGGGAUAGUUAGUUAGAAACCCACACGAUGCUUAUGAUUGCUAAUUGUUUUGCGUAAUUGUGGUUAUGGAUUCCUGACUGUGUUAUUGGGAUUAUGGAACUAGCUUUUAUAAGAACUCUGAAAGAUGAAUAACACAUACUCAAGAAUACCUAAAGGAAGGGUAGCUCUAGGUCAUGUAGGUGCUAGAGGAAGGGCACAAGGGUAUCCCAAACUAGAUGGGAUUUUGCAAGCCUUAGAGGCAAUUGGAAAUUUGAUGGGAUAGUAGGCUCAAAAUUAGGCUGCUGCUACUACCAUCACCGCCGUUGCUCCCAAUGAUGCCUCGUUAGCUAGAGACAAGAAUGGUGACCGAUGAUUGCAUAAGUUAGUGGAGCAAUUCAUAAAGUUGAAGCCGUCACAGUUUCUCGAAAAAUGUGAUCCUAAGGCUGUUGCAUCAUGGGUUAGCUAAAGAAGGCCUUUGCAUUACUAAGUACACUGAGGUGGAUAAAGUGACAUUGGUGGUGCACCAACUGCAAGGUAAUGCCAAUGACUAGCCGGAAGCCACUUGAAGAAGGGUCUUUCUUGAAGGUAUAGUCCUAACUUGAGGUGCCUUUGUUGAAGUGUUCAAUGGAAGGUACUUUUCUGAGUGCACGCGAGAAUAGAAGAUGACAGAAUUUUUAUGACUCCACCAAAUCAUUUGUUCGUUAACCAGUACAAAGCUAAGUUCAUUGAGCUAUCAAAGUAAGGGCCAAGUAUGAUUGAGGACCCGGUAAAUAGAGCGAGGAGAUUCAGGGGUAGCCUGAAGUAAAAAAUUCACAACUAGCCGGUGCCCUUGAACUUGAAAGACUACAAUGAGCUAUAUGAAAGGGAUGCCGUUUGAGUGAGCAGUCACACUUGGAUCGCAGUUUACCUCUAAUUGGGACUACCAUCGAUUUGGGAAGAAGCCGGUGAUUCAAGGAAAGCACUCCAUCCCUCCCACAUAGAAAGAAUGGCAUUGGAAAGUCAGCAUACGAUCUAAGUAAUGAAUGUCGAUCUCAUGGUAGGCAUCAUAAGAUAGCACUAUGCCCCACCAACACAGGAGCAUGCUUUAGAUGUGGCUAGCAUGACCAUCUAGUGUGAAACUAUCCGUGUCGACCGGCCAAGAUACAACCCUAAUAAUUGCAUUCGAGAUAACAAUUUGGGACUAUGCCGUAAAUCAACCCUGACUGACCCCUAGCUCAGGGAAGAAUAUAUGCGGUAAUUAGAGAAGAAGCGAAGGACUCCCGAUCAAUAACCAUAAGUACGAUUUUCUUACAGUAGCAUGCUGCUUACAUGUUGUUUGAUAUGGGAGCUACACAUUCAUUCGUAAUAGAGAAGUUUGUGAGAUUAGCUAAAUUAGAACUAAACCCGUUGGAAAUGGUCCUUAGCAUCUCCACUCUAUGAAAGAUAAGGUGUUAUCUAUUUUAGGCUGUCAAGGGUGCAAGAUAUUUGUUAGCGAUCAAAAAGAGUUGAUAGAUCUAGUUGUUUGGCUAUGUUUGAAUUUGAUGUUAUUAUUGGAAUAGUUUAGCUCGAGCCACGGUGGAUUGCCAUAGUAAGAUAAUACAUUUCAACCUAUUUGGUAGUUCUUGUUAUGAGUUCAUAAGGAAUGGAGGAGGACCCUCUAUACCCUUGAUUAUAUCACUCGAGAUAGAAUGACUACUAGAGGAGGGUUUCCACAGUUGUCCGGCAACAAUGGUGGAUACGACAUUGGAAGAACCGAAAUUGGAAGAUAUUGCUAUGGUGCGAGACUUUGCGAAUGUCUUUCUGAAGGAAUUACCAAGAUUACCUGUGGAAAGGGAGAUAGAAUUCAUCAUUGAGUUAACCCUUGGAAUAGAACCAAUCUAUAAGGCACCUUAUCGAAUGUUGUUGUCAAAAGUGAAGGAAUAGAAGAUGCAAAUGCAAGAGUUACUCAAUGAGAGAUUCAUUUACCUUAGUGCAUCGCCAUGGGGAACAUAAGUAAUAUUCGUGAAGAAGAAUGAUGGAUCAUUGCAUUUAUGAGGCAAAUAAGUAUCCACUGCUAAGAAUUGACAACUUGUUCAAUCAACUUCAACGAGUUUUGGUAUUCUAUAAGAUAAACUUGAGGACAGGGUAUCAUUAGCUGAGAAUCAAGAAGGAAGAUAUCCUAAAGACUGCAUUUUGAACGCGAUACAACCACUAUGAGUUUAUGGUAAUGCUGUUUGGGUUAACCGAUGCCCUAACUGCUUUCAUGGACUUAAUGAAUCGAGUGUUCAAGGUGUAUUUUGAUUAAUUUGUCAUAGUCUUCAUUGUCGACAUAUUGGUAUACUUGAAGAGCCUAGAUGAGCAUGAACAACAUUUGAGGACGGUAUUACUGACCCUUUGAGAACACACACUUUAUGCUAAGUUUAGUAAGUGUGAGUUCUAGCUCAAUCGAGUAGCUUUUUUAGGUCAUGUAAUAUUCGACGAAAAAAUUUCAGUGGGCCCAACAAAGAUUGAGGUUGUCAUGAACUGGCUGACACCAAUAACGGUGACCAAGGUUUGGAGUUUUUUGAAAUUGGCUGGCUAUUAUCGGCAAUUUGUGGAAAGAUUCUUUGGAAUAGCUAUGCCCUUGAUGCAAUGCUAAAGAAGGAAGUAAAUUUUGAAUGGACGGAUAAGUGCGAGAAGAGUUUUCAAGAGCUCAAGCACAAGUUGACUAUUGCCCCAGUAUCGACAAUACCAUCUGAUCUUGGAGGUUACGAGAUUUAUACUAACGCCUCAUAUAAAGGACUAGGCUGUGUCCUAAUGCAACAUGGAAGAGUGGUGGCCUAUGGGUCUAAAUCUCACGAGCAGAAUUAUCCGACACACUACUUAAUAUAGGCAACAAUCGUCUUCACUUUGAAGAUCUAGAGGCACUACUUAUGUGUAGAAAAAUUCAUGAUCUACAUUGACCAUCAAAGUCUAAAGUAUUUAUUUUCUCAAAAGGAAUUAAACAUGAGAUAGUAACGUUGGAUGAAGCUUCUCAAGAAUUAUGAUUGCGACAUCCUAUAUCACCCUCAAGAUAGUGGACGCACUCAAUCGAAAGUCGACAAUUGCACAAAUGAUGGUUCAAGAAUGGAUCCGUCUUAAAGGAGUGUGAGGUUCGGAUUUCAGAUUUGAGGUAAGCUACAUUUCUAACUGUAUGGCUUGCUUCCGAAUCAAAUCCAAAGUGCAAACUAGGAUUAAAUCAUUGCAGGUGAUGGAUCCAUUCAUGUAGAGAAUUUUUGAAGAGAGUGCGAAAAAGAGGAUACCGAAAUUUCAGGUAGUAGAGGAUGGACUAUUGAAAUUUUGAGGACAGUUAUAUGUGCCCAAUAAUGUAGAACUCAAGGAAGGGAGUUUGGUAGAAGCUCAUAGAAACAACUAUAGCAUACAUCCAAGUAGCACAAAGAUGUAUAAAAAUAUUUGAUAGCUUUAUUGGUCAAAUGGCAUGAAGACAGAUGUCACCAAGCAUGUGACCGAGUGAUUAACAUGCCAACAAGUGAAAGUCGCAACACUGCAAACCUAGUGGCCUACUACAACCCCUAGAAAUUCCAGAGUGAUUGGAGCACAUCACGACGGAUUUUGUGAUGAGACUACUAAUGAGCCAAAGAGGUAAUGAUUCUAUUUGGGUAGUAGUUGAUAGUUGACCAAGUUAGCACAUUUUAUUGCGGUACGAAAAAGACUUUGCCAUAUAUAGAUAUGCCGAGUUAUGUGUGUGGCAAAUAAUUCAUUUGCAUGGAGUGCCCAUGACGAUAACUUCAUAUUGGGACCCUAAGUUCAUAGCUGCAUUUUGGAAAAGUCUAUAGACUACCAUGGAAAUGAAGCUGUAGUUUAUCACAAUUAAUCAUCCACAAACAGAUGGUCAAUCUGAGAGGACCAUCCAAACACUCGAGGAUAUGUUGCGAGCUUACAUUGUGGAUUUUGAAGGAAGAUGGAAAGAGCAACUACACCUUGUCAAGUUCAUGUACAACAAUAGCUACUAGCAAAGCAUCGAAAUGGCACCGUUCAAGACAUUAUACGGUCAUUCUUGUAGAACACCUAUUUCUUAGGAUGUGGUUAGAGAAAGAAUGGUUACUGGCCCUAAGCUAGCCCAAUAGUCCAUAGAUGCAGUUAAGAUUAUCAAGGGCAAGCUAAAGACAGCCUAAAGCCACUAGAGAAGCUAUGUAGAUAAACGAUGAAGGCUUUGGAAUUCUAAGUAGGUGAUCAUGUAUUCCUUAAGGUGUUGACUAUGAGAGGAAUGUCAUGCUUUGGCAAAAAAGGAAAGCUGAGCCCUCGGUACAUUAGACCCUUUGAGAUUCUAGAAUGACUAAGGAUCUUGGCUUAUCGAUUAGCAUUGUUGCCCAAACUUGCUCAAGUUCAUAAUGUGUUUCGUGUAUCCAUGUUAAAUAAAUAUGAAUGGGACAAUGUACAAGUGUUCAAUUAUGAGGAACUUGAAGUAAACGAUAGAGCAUCAUACAUUGAGCAGCCGAUAUGGGUCAUUGAUAGAAAAGAACAAGUGCUGCACAACAAGGUCCUUUCCUUAAUCAUGGUACCAAGUGAGCGACCAAGGAAAGUGAGGAGGUGUUGAGAUGUUAGUAUCCUCAUCCAUUCGAAGGGACGAAUAAUUCCACAAAUUUCGAGGAUGAAAUUUAUUUAAGGGAGAGGAAUGGCGACAUCCUUAAUCCAAUCCCUGUCUAUGAAGCAGAAUUAUGGUGAAAAUCAACAGACGGUGGAAAGGUAUAAAUGGUCACCUUAGGAUGAAAACUCAAUUUUUCAUUGACGGAUUGUGAAAUUUCAAAAAAGUGGAGUGCUGCAAAUGAAGAGCCACAAGGACCCCAAGCCACAGAUAGGCCCAAUGGGCCUCAUGCCUAUCUUGGUCGGCCCAAGGGGGCCCACCAAGCAAUCCAAGCACAUUAAUGAAUUUUGGAAGCAUGCACAUUAAAUUUGCCCAUGUGCAUGAAUAGUAAUUGGACUAUAGUUUGGUUUAAUUCCUAAAUUGCCCUUUCUAGAAGCUAGUUAGCCUAAUGAGGCAAUUUUGUUGGCAUCCUAAGAGGGAAAGUAGCGUCCAUGAAGGAGGAAGAAGAGAGAUGCUAACUUGGUUUGUCUUUUCGAUCCAUUCCCAAAUAUGGCACAUAUACAAUAUCUUGCCAUUAAUGGACUUGGAUAGGAAUGCAUCAUAAAGCAAUUGUGGCCACGCGAAAGCUUGGCCAAGAGUGAAUUAGCGAAGUUGUAUGCAAGCUCAUUAAUGUUUGGAUAUGGAAAAAUCUUGAUUGAGCUCAUCUCUCUCUCAUUUCUCUCAUUUCUCUCAUUCUCUCUCACUCCUCUCUCAAGCCGAACCCCCAAUUCUCUCUCUUGGCUCACCUCUCCCUCAUGCCAUCUCUUUCAUUCUCUCUCGGUCCCUCGUGUCACCACCAUUCACUACCCCAUGCCAUCGCGGUUACCGAACCAUUGAGUUGCAUGCUCGCAUCGUUCCCCUCACUGUACGCCAUUGUCCAUCACCCAUUGCCACCUUUGCCGAGCCAUCAUGUUUGUGCUGUUGUCCUUCACUGUGAGCCAUCGGGAGUCGCUACAAGCCGCCGAGCUAUAGCAGCAUCUUGCCAAGCCAUUACCAUGCCUCACGCCAUCACCAUCAUUGUCCACACCAUGAGCCGUGAGCCUUGCCACGGUGACUUACCGUCAAGCUUAAAGAUCUAGUCCUGUGAGUAACUUCCUAACCCUUGUUUAGAGUGGUGUUUACACUAAGGAUUAUAGUUGAAUUAGGGCAAAUGAUAGUUAGAUUAUGUGUUAAGUGGAUUAGAAUUAUGGCUUAUCAUUGAUAAGUGAUAAGCGAAGGUGAUCAUGGAUAGUGAUAAGUACAAGUGAUAGAUUAUUGUGGAUAUUGAUAAGUACAAGCAAUAGAUUAUCAUGGAUAGAGAUAAGUACAUGUGAUAAGUUAUUGUGAAUAGUGAAUAGUGCAUGCAAUAACUUAUUUAUAAGUGUGAUAAGUGCUAAUUAUAUCCUAAUUUUAAAAGUGAUAAGUGCUUAUUUUAUACUAAUUUUAAAAGUGGUAAGUGCUUAUUAUAUCCUAAUUUAAAAAGAGAUAAGCGCUUAUUAUAUCUUAAUUUUAAAAGUGAUAACUGCUUAUUAUAACUUAAUUUUAAAAGUGAUAAGUGCCAUCACAUCCUAUUUUCAUAAAUGAUAAGCACUUGUGAAAUAUUAUUUUGAAAAAUGAUGUGCUAAGUUGAUAAAUGAACUCAUAGUAUGAUAUUGUAUACUAUUAGGUUAAUGCAUCAUUAUUUAGGUGGAUAAAAUAAUCAAUGGGGGAUCAUGUAAAAUUAUUUCAUGGCAUUUUUGUGUGCAAGAAUUGCUAGUGUAUAAAGUGUGAGUACUAAACACUCUUGCAUUGGCUAAAGAGAAAGAUAAAAAUUGGCUUAAGUGGUUGAUGUGCUCGUGUGAUCACAUUAAUGGUUCCAUACUUGUAUGAUUAUGAGCAAUGAUGCUUGAUGAAUUUUGGAUGCCCCAUGUUGACGGGGUGCCGUUUGUGAAUGAAUUUUAGGAUAAAGUUCCUUAAAUGAAAUGUCUUCUUCAAGUGAGGUUGAGAAGUUUCCGUGAGACAAUGCCAAAUUACAUCGAAAGACCAUUGACGCAAGUGUCAAUCAUGGCCAUGAGCAGUUGUGAUAAUUUGGACUCAUGUGGAUGUAUUGUGCAUGGAAUGAUAACAUCAUGUCUAGAUUACUAUGCAUGAAUGUCAUAUGUCUACUGAAAUUGGGCACUCACGUGGUGAUAUAUCUAUGUAAUUAUUAGAUAUUGUGUUAGGGCAUUGUAUGGUGAGUUGCACAUUUCAUGCUUAUAAAUUAUGCAAAGCAAAGGCUUUGUUAUAGAUUUGCUAUCGAAAACUAAGCAACAUGUAUAGUGCGUCUCCAAGGUGAAGUGUUCUCGACGUGAGGUUUAGGGAGUUUACUUACUGAAUAUAUCUCACUCGUUGUUGUUUAAACUUUUUAGUCCCUCAUCAUGACAAGUCUAUUCUAUCAUGUUCACUUUAGGGUACCUAUCGACCAGGACACACAAGUGACCCCCUUCCCAAUUGAGGGGAUAGAUGUGAUUUACGAGAAGCAUGUGUCUACCUUUUGGGUGAAUGAGGGGCUAGCUAACCUGGUGCCCCAUAGGUUCAUGGCUUGGUACUUAUGGUUUGAAAGGGAGUUCUUUGGCCCUCUUUGGGAUUGACGAACCGCUAGGCAAGGGAUCUGGAGGUGCUAUUAGGGACCCCAUGGUCAUGGAUGUGCCCAACGGCACCAUCACUGACUUAGAGAUGAAUCCGAAUCCAAAGUCGAACCCUAAGCCUGAGCCAUGGUGUUAUAACCUAGACGUGUACUAAAUGCAUAAGGGAUACUACCUUUUGAGAUCACCCUCGUAGGAUAGAGGUGUAAGGCUAACACCCAACUCCCUUUGACAAAUUGGAAGGAAUCCGCACCACAGAUAUGUGAAUAUGUAGCUUCUGAUGUGCUAAGCUAAUUUGUAAAUACAAAUAUGUAUACAAAAGCAUGUGUUUGUUAUGUUUUAUGCUAUACCUCUUGUUGUGUAUGAUUAUGUGAAGUUAAAUUUGCUUCCACUUGCAUAUAAUUGAAAGAUAAAAUGAAUGGGUUGAUGACACCUUUUAAGAUGCCGCAAUUAAAUGACCAAAGGAAAAGAAGGGAUGUCGCGCAUCAAAGGGCCGAGCCGUGACAUUUACCCUCUGUUAGUUUUCAUUAAAUUUCACUGUUAAAUUGUUGAAUUAGAUGACACGUGACAGUUGACUGGUGUAAUAUUUGGGAUUUUACUCUUCAUUUGUCACAGUUGUACUAGUUUUGUGGUUUUUUUUGUGAUACUAACCCAAUUUAAUGGAAUGUAUAUUUGUUACAAAUGUACUAAUUUGUGGUUUUUAUGAUAAAAGAUUAAUUUGAGAUAAAUUUGUCAUAACUAUAUCAUUUUGGGGUUUUCUAUAGUCAUAUGGGGUAAAUUUGUCAUGAGUAUAUCAAUUUAUGAUUUUUCGUGAUAUUAACCCUUAUACAUAACUAUAUGACUACUAUCAAAAUCCCAAAAAAUUAUUCAAGAAUAGAAUUCUUCCUCCAAUUCCUUGUCCAAUAAUUACUAAAAAAUAGUUGUUUUGAAUUUGUAUGCUAAUUAACGGGACAAAUUUGACUUAUCGAUAUAUGUCUUCCGGGUUACACAACGUUAGGAUGAGCAAAUUUCAAAUGAUUAAUUUUUCAAUGAGUGAAAAUCCUAGAAAGUAUUGACAAAAUAAAACAAAGAAAAGUAAAUCCUAGAAAGUAGCAAACAGUAGAAGAGGAGGAUGGAGAAGAAACUAAAUAUCUCUUAAUAGCUACAAUUGUCUCAUUUUACUUUAGACAUAGAUAAUGUAAUACAAUAGUUACAUCAAAAUUACCAAAAAAAGUCAUAAACCUAUUAUAAUUGUAUCAAUUCAAUUAUAGACAUUUUUGUGAUUGUACUAAUUCAGUCCAUUUGAUUAAUUUUGGCCAGUUGACAUUUGCCAAUGCUAGCCAUUUGGCAAAACACUAACUUAAACAAUUUAUAAUAAUAUUUUAUUCUAAAAUUUUUUCUUUUAUUUUCCUUUUUUAUUUUUUAUUUUCUUCCUUAUUUUCCCCAUAGCUAAGCCAUGGCGAUAGUCACUAGCCACUAAGCAAGGCCUGGGGAUUGUGGUCAAGGUGGCUUCGCCUAAAUUUAGGUGAGGCUAGCCUCCAUGGUCUCACCAUGACCUUGUCAACCUCGGGCAAAGGCAACUAUGGCCUUGCUAACCAUGAGUGAGGUUGCCUUCACUUGCGGCCCUAAAGCCAUGGCAAGGCUGGGUAAGGGCCACAAUCCUUGUUGAUUGUCAUGCCCCGGUCCUCGAGCGAAUGCCCAUUCCUCGGUGAUCAAUAAAAUUUGCAACAUCCUAGAACGCGUCACCGACCCAUUUAUUUUAUUACACAUGCGGAAGCGAACUAAACACUCAUGACAAUAAACAGCAUGGGAUAGAAAAGCAGAACAAUCACAUCAAACCAAACACCUUUAUACACAAGCUGAGUUUAUUUAUAAAGGUUUACAAAAGAUUUGCUUUCGAAAAGAAACUGUCUUACGACCUACUAGUUGGACACGUUCAUCGAUCCUUUGGACUCCACUGGCUCCGGGGGCACCGGGUCCUCCACAGCUCCAUUAGGAGGGUCAGCUACACCCUCGCCAAAAGUGGCAUUGACAACCACCAAGGGAAUCUCAAAACCCUAGAGGGGACCCACCCUGUACCCAUUGAGUUCAUGGCGAAACCAUGCCCUAAAUUGAUGAGGUACCCUCUCAUGUAGGUCCUCAUCGACCCAAACUGUGGUCACAAUCAACUCAUAGACCCAAUGACUACUGAGGAUCUGAACGUUUAUCUCCUGUUCAGUAAGAGCCCAUAACUAUCCAAAACAUUCCGGAGGAACUACUAUCUAAGGACCUGAAAAUAUUGAGUUCACGACAAGGUGAGACAAUGUCUUAGCAAGUUUACCCCCUAAACUCCGACUAGGAAGGAAAUACGCUAAGGGCAUCCUAACCACACAGCCACACAAUCACAAAGACUUAUCUCGUCUCAAAUCUUUCCUGCAUGUCAGUAUAGUUCAUAUCACAUAUAUAAACAGCAUUCAAGCUUGAACAAUUGGAAUGCCAACACUUUCUUCUCAACAACACAAGGGGUCCCGAUUAUAGGGUCAAAUUGUUAUAACACGUUCCAUUCCGUGCCACACAAUUUUGUCCCAUAAUUUAGCACGUCAAUUUCACUUAGCAUAUGUUCCAAUUGUUAAUCAUAGCCACACAUAAGCACGACCUACUCGAAGUUCGAUAGUCUUCUAGCGUAGCCAAGCAUCGUCUCACCCCACCGAGCAUGUCUACGUCGCUACAUCGACGGAAUUCCAUAAAGGAGCAUUGAUCCAGCCUUUACUGUGACUGGCAUCCAUUGGUAGGGCAUUCCAUAUAGGGGCACGUCCAACUCAACAGACGAGAUGAGUUCUCUUAACCAACACACGACGAUUCAAUCUCGGCCUAGGACACUGUGCAUGACACUCAAAUACCUCAAUUAAAAUAGUGAACCUAGCAUAUUUUCUUCGUAUUAAAAACACACGGUAAAAUAGUCGUGUGUAGAUACACGGUCAAUUCGAAUCAGAAAAACCGAUACCCUUCAUUUUGAAAUCUUACUAUUUGAUAUGAUAUUUAAAACCAUUUUUGGUGUCCAAACUUGACACCCGGUAAUUUCUAAUAAUUACCAAAAUUUUCAAAUUUUAAAUUAAAUACUCAAAAUUACAAUCACCACUCAAUUUGCACAAUUUAACACUCAAUUGCAGAAACUAAACACACUAUUGUAAUUAGCACGAAAUUCCGGUCACCGACUAUCCCUGUAUAAUUUCUGGAAAAUAUUAAUUAAUUAAAAAAAUACGAUAAUUAAUUAAAUAAUUCAAUUUAAAUGCAAUAAAUAGCAACUUAGACCAAAAAUGCUUAAUAAAUCGCCCAAACAGGCCGAGAAAGUUUCAGAACCUAUCUAGAUAAAUAGUACAACUACUUUAAUCCCUAAUGUAUAUGUUCUAACCACCUAAUAUGCACAAUCCAUUCUAACUAACAACAUAAACCUUAAUUAGCCUAAACUAAUUAUCCAUUAAACAUCAUUAGCUCCCUAAGUAGAGUUUAGCAAGUAAACUCACCGGUUUAGCAUUCCGAUGAGUUCACGGCGAUGGCGACGCAAAGGCGGGCGAUUAACAACCCUAUAGCAACACUAACCAAGGCCAGGAAGGGACCUAAAACGGGCCUAGAAAUCUCAACUCUUUCUGGAACUUCCGCCUCUAUUCUUGGCUACAGGGACAGGUCGAAGGGGCUGAAACAUCACAAGAUGGAUGGCAACAAAUGCAGCGGCCUAAGCGGGCAAUGACGAAGGCUGACUGCGACAUACGACGGCUGGACGACGGCAAAGAAGGCUUGAAUAGUGAGCUAGGCUCAUGGGAUAGCAAGCACGAGCAGGCACGAGUGAGUAGACACGAGCAGGAGGCCGGCGUUGCUUCGAGCACGUGUUGGGCGUGUGACGGUGGUCCGGUGGCUUCGGGCGGCUGUCGACGGGCAAAAGGGAGGGCCUAGCCGGUUCUUUCUGGUUUUUGGAGCUCAAAUUCUUAUCAACAAUGGAUAAAGGUGGUUGGUUGAAGGAGAAGAAGACUGCAGAAGUCUCGGGGGUCCCCUUUAACCAUAAAUAUCCAUUUUCUACUCAUUACAAAGCCCCACCAGCUGUUGUCUUCCAUCCUCAGCCAUUUGUAGCCCUCAAUCUUCCUCAACACACUUCCCAAAUGGUCCAAAAUGUUGAGUCCCCCAUGGCCUACGAAUUUUAGGCAAUCUCCAUCCAAAUUGGCUUCAAUUCCUCUCCAAUUAGAACUAAAUUGGAGUCCAUAAAUCCACCAAGAUGCCAUCAUCCCUCUUAAGAUUUUUCCUCAUCAAUUGAACCAACUUGAAUCCCAAAAAUGAGACAAAAAACGGUCCUCUAAUUUUCCCGAUAAAAAAUGGCUCUAUUUUAAAUUUUUGCCAAAAAUCUCAGUUUGCAAAAAAAUCUUUGGAAGAUAAGUCGAGGUUCCUAAAAUGACUUGUGACAUGACAUAACUUUCAAUUUCUGAAUUCAAGUUUAAAUUCGUGGUUAAUUUCAAUUUGACGCGAUUUUAACAUGACCUAACCUAUCGGGUAUCUUUUAAGAAUUUUUGGUGCAAUUGACCUAUGGUUGAUUAUUUUCGAGCCACAUUGUACAUUUUCGACACAUUGGCGAAUCUCAAUUUUCGUGAAAAUAUCGAGGUUUCAAAUAUGGACACAUGGUAAGAAAUGGUAGAAAAAUCAGUCUAGUGCCAUUCGACAAAAAUUUUGCAAUUAAGUGGAAUCACUCACAAAUUAAUCACAUACCUCUAUCAAAUCAACCUAUCUCUAAUCUCUAAUCGAUUUUGACAGUGCCGUAAUGACCUUUGUAGAUUAGCACGGUCGAGCAGUCGAUUCCUGGUCAAAUUCUCAAGUCUAUUGCGUUUAAAUUUCUUAACGACUUUACCUGAUAGACUAGUUAUCUCGUAAGUGGCCAACUUAGAGAAAAGAACUAUAGGCACGUCGAUGAAAAGCCCAACUUAUUCAAUUGAAAACAGAACCUGAAAUUCAGGAUGUCACAUUUGCACUCUUAAGAUCAAUCUCCUAUAGAUAGAUAGAAUCUUCAAAAAUCCUGCAAAAUGAACAAACAUGCAAUACGGUAUGUAUGCAUGAGAUAUACGAUGCAAAUAUCCUAAAGUGACUCAGUUUCAAUCCAAAAGUGGCUUAGAGGCCUCUCACUUUAUUCAUAGGUAAUACAUUUUGACGGCAUCGGCAUUUACAACCCUUGGCAAUUAUUGGUCAUCCAUUUCUAUGAGAAUUAAUGCUCCACUAAGUAGCACAUUUCUUAUAAUAUAUGGACUUUCGGAGUUUAAAGUGAACUUGUCACAAGGAUUUGGAAUGAUAGGUGGGACUUUUCUCAAGACGAGGCCGUUGAUCUCAAAAUGUCUUGGCCUGAUCUUGUGGUUGAAUGACUUGGCUAUUCUCUUAUGAUAGCUUUGUCCAUGGCAUAGAGCUUUUAUCUUCUUUUCAUCAAUCUUAUUGAGUUGUUCAAACCUUUGUUAAACCCAUUAAAUUUCAGAGAACUUGACUUGGGAAAGUACCCUUAGUGAAGGAAUUUCCACUUCCACGGGUAAUACAACCUCCAUCCCAUAGACCAAUGAGAAUGGUGUUGCCCCAGUCGAAGUGUGAAUUGAAGUUCAAUUAGCCAUCAAAGCAUAUGGCAAUUGAUCAUGCCAAUCGCGAUAGUUAUCCACCGUUUUGGCUAAAAUCUUCUUGAUGUUCCUGCUUCCACAGCUCCAUUCAUUUGUGGGCGGUAAGGAGAAAAAUUCAAGUGGCGAAUGUGGAACUCUCCACGUGAUAUUUCAAAAUUUGGCCCUAUUUUGAAAUAUAUGAAGUGGUUAUUUCAUUGACGCACUUAUGGUUAUCGGCAAAAGUAUGCUUCAAGUGCCAAAAGUUGGCACAAAAGGACACUUAAGUGUCAAAAGUUACGAAAGUGACACUUAAGUGCCAAAAUCGAAGAGAAAUUGAUCACUUAAGUGCCACUUCGGCCAAAAUCUAGCCAAAAUGCUGACGUAUUAAUUUUCCAGCAAAGCGAGUGCAAAAUGGCAUCAUUUUGCACGCUCACGUUGCCAAAUAAUGCAAAAAUGACGUCGUUUUGGUGCUGACGUGGUAAAAAAUUAAUUUACUUUAAUUUAAAACUAAAUUUAUUUAAAACAUUUUAAAAUACAAAUACAAAUAUUUUAAAAAAUUAAAAAAAAUUAAAAAAAUUAAAAAAAUUUUAAAAAAUUAAAAAAAUUUUAAUAAAAGGGAGGCGGUAUCGAUUAAGGGUUGGCUAAGCCCUCAGCUGCCUCUUUUUUUAAUUUUAUUUUAAUUUUUUAAAAAAAUUAAAAAAAUUAAAAAAAAAUAUUUUUAUUUUAAAAUGUUUUAAAUAAAAUUAAUUUUAAAUUAAAUUAAUUUAAUUUUUAUAUUAAUUUUGUACCACGUCAGUACCAAAACGACACCGUUUUGCACUUGCUUCGCCGGAAAAUUGACACGUUAGCGUUUAGGCCAAUCCGUCAGCACCAAAACAAUGCCGUUUUUCACUUGCUUCGCUGGAAAAUUGACACGUUAGCAUUUUGGCCAGAUUGGCACUUAAGUGAUUCAUUUUGUUUUGAUUUUGGCACUUAAGUGAUCCAUUUUAUUUCGAUUUUGGUACUAAAGUGUCACUUUUGUAACUUUUGGUACUUAAGUGUCUAUUUAUGUAAACUUUUGGCACUCCAAGGGUCCGGGUGUCUAUGGUUAUCUUACUCUGAACUGAUAACUCACGAGUUAACUAAUCUAUUGAGUGAUGCCACAAAUGGUUAAAAUACGAAAGACUAGAGAAUUCGAUUAGGAAUCGAUUGCUCGACCAUAAGGAUCGACAAGGGUCAAUACUGCAAUUUUAUAAGUCAACUAGCGAAUGGAUAUAAAUUGAUUCGAUAGAAGUACGUAAUCGGUUCGCGAGUGAUUCCACACAAUUACAAUAUUCGUAUCAAACAAUGAUAAACUAAUUUUUCUAUAUUAUAUGCAAGGUGCGUAAUUGAACCCUUGCGAUUACAUCACAACCAAAGGUCAUCCGCAAUUCGAAGAGGCACAAAUGUGGAUAAAAAAUUAUUGACCACGGGUCAACCAUAUGAAAACCCCUAAAAGCCACCCAAUAGAUUAGGUUGUACUAAAGUCACGUUCAAUUGAAUUCUUUUUAAUCACAAAAUUUAAUUUGAUUUCGGGUAUUGAAUUUUUGAGAGUUUUGAGAUUAAAUUAUUGAACAUCGCCUUAUCGUCAAUUGAUUAUCGGUAUUUUUGAAAUUUUUGAUAAAUGAAUUAUCAAACUAAAAAUUGGAGACUGGAAAAGGGAAAUUCGAGUCUAGUGGCUAAAUGGUGAAUUAUGGGCCAUAAUUUUGGCUUUAAAGAAAAAAAGGAAAAGAAAAGGAAAUUGUGGGGACAUGAUACUAGACUAAGAGGGUUUUGAGGGAAGUGGGUAUGAGAAAUGAUGGGAUUUUGGAAGAAAUUUUGCGAAAAAUCCUUCUCUUUUUUUUUUUUCUCUCUUUUUUUUCUCUCUCUCUCUCUGCCCCCCCCCCCCCCCCCACACUUUUUUUAUUGCUCCUACCGGGGAGGCCCCCCCACACUUUCCCCGUUUACAUAAGCCCACGUAUUUAUUGUGUCGUCUCUAUGUGCNNNNNNNNNNNNNNNNNNNNNNNNNNNNNNNNNNNNNNNNNNNNNNNNNNNNNNNNNNNNNNNNNNNNNNNNNNNNNNNNNNNNNNNNNNNNNNNNNNNNUUCUUUAACUCUAAUUUCCAAAAUUAAAGCUUUUUGGGAUUUGCUACCCUAUCCGAUUUUCAUUUCCUUUUUCAUUUGUUCGAAAAUCAUCUUUUUGAAAAAAUUUCGGACUGGUCGAAAUUUUGACUAAAAAUGAGACGACAUCCAAUAAAUAAAUUGCAACACGCUUGAAUGUUCGAUUCCCGAAACCGAAUUAAAUUUUGUGACUAAAAUCAAUCGAACGCGACUUUAGUAUGACUUAAUAUAUUGGGUAGUUUUUAGGGGUUUUAGCGCUUUUGACCCGUGGUCGAUAAUUUUCAACCCAUGUUUGUGCAUCUUCGAAUCGCCAAUGACCCUCGAUUGUCAUGUAAUCAAGAGGGUUCAAUUACGUAUCCUAAAUAUAAUAUCGAUAGAAAAUCGGUUUAUUACCGUUCGACGCGAAUAUCGCAAUCGUGCGGAACUACCCGUAAUUUAACUACGUACCUCCAUCAUGACUUAUAUCCAUUCGCUAAUCGAUUUAUAACGGUGUGGUUUUAUCCCUUGCCGAUCAUUAUGGUCGAGUGGUCGAUUUCUUAUCAAAUUCUCUAGUUUGUCGCGUUUAUAACCCUUUCGGCCUCACCUAAUAGAUUAAUUAACCCGUGAGUGAUUAGUUCUGACUAAAAUAACCAUAAGCUUGUCAAUGAAAUAACCAUUUCAUAUAUUCGAAAUAGGGGUCAAAUUUCGGGACGUCAAACUCUUCUCCUCUUACAAAAAUUUUGUCCUCAAAAUUUAAACCCUUACAACCCUUCUUCAAAAAGGUGAGGGUAUUGACAUCUCAUUGACUCUUUGCUUUCCCACGUGGCUCCUUCUGUUCUACGGUGUUGCCAGACCACUUUAAUCAAGGGGAUCGUCCUGUUGCAUAGUACUUGCUUCUUUCGAUCCACUAUUUGAAUCGGUCUCUUCACGUAUAACACUCUCUUGUCUACGUCUAUUUCCUCAAAAUUCAGCACUUGGGUUGGAUCAGGUUUGUACUUGCUCAGCAUCGACAUGUGGAAGAUGUCAUGCACUUGAGCAAGUCUCGGCGGCAACGCAUGACGAUAUGCCAAAGUCUUGAUUCACUCUAAAAUUUCAAAGGGACUGAGGUACCUUGGGCUUAGCUUUCCUUUCUUGCCAAAAUGUGAAGUACCCCUCAUUAGUGACACUUUGAGGAAUACGUGUUCACCUACUUGGAACUCCAGUGGUCUACGUCGCUUAUUUGCAUAACUCUUCUGACGACUUUGGGCGGUCUUGAGUCUUUCUCGAAUGACUUUGACAGCGUCGGCUGAUUGUUGAACCAACUUAAGGCCAAUAAUCUUAUGCUCUCCAACUUCAUCCCAACAGACAGGAGUCCUGCAGGCCCUACUAUACAAUGCUUUAAAUGGUGCCAUCUUGAUACUCUGCUGAUAGCUGUUGUUGUAGGCAAACUCAACUAGAUGAAACUAUUCCUCCCAACUUCCUUUGAAGUCCAAUACGCAAGCUUGCAUCAUAUCCUCAAGGGUUUGAAUAGUCCUCUCAGACUGACCAUCCGUUUGCGGAUGAUAGGCCAUGUUGUGCUACAGCUUUGUUUCCAGUGUCAUGCCCUGAACCUCGAGCGCACGCACAUCCCUCGGUGGUCUAUAAAAUAUGCGAUAUUCCCAUAACACGUCGCCGACCCAAUCAAUUAUACACAUGCAGAAGCGAAUUAAUUAAUCCCCUAACAACAAUAGACAUGAGAUAGAAAAGCAGGACAAUCAAUUUCAAAUCAAACACACUUUUAUAAACAAACUAGUUUACACACAAAGGUCAACUCUAAGGUUUAUGUACAGGAAGUCUAUCUAAAAAAGAAACCUCUAGGCUACCCAUGCUCCUGACUCUUCCGCCUCAAGCUUUGGGUUCUUCACACAAGGGACCUGAAAAUGGUAAUUCAUAACGAGGUGAGAUAUAAAUCUUAGCGAGUUUACGUCCUAAACCUCAAUUAAAAAGUUAAUACACCUAGAAGCAACCUACACACACAACCAAUGAGACUCACCUCGCCUCAGUUCCUUUUUGCACAUUAGUACAGUUCAUAAAACAUAUGCAUAUAAUUAAUGUACUCAUCAAUUGGAACAUCUCACUAUCAAACCAAUCAAACAUAGGAGUUCCAAUUAAAAGGCCAAAUCAUUAUGACACAUCUCAUACCGUGCCACACAAUUUCAUCCUAUAAUCAGGCGCGGGUGACUCAUAUCGAUGGUUCAAUCCACACCUGAUGUUCACUCUCAAUAUUCAAACUCAACAUCCCCACUCAAUAUUCCGACUCUAUGUUCCAACUCAAUACUCAAUACCAGACUCAAUAUUAGACUCAAGAUUCUAGAGGUGUCUCGUCCCCACAAAGUUUCAAUAUCGUGUGGCACCCUGAUCAUAAUCAGAAAUAGCUCAAGGUACUAGAGAUGGCUCUCACGAAAUUACGUUAUCCUAUAGCACUUAGUUGGCCACGAAAAACACUAGUACAAGGUUCUAGAGGUAACUCACACGAAGUCUCGCUAUCUUAUAGCACUUAAUUCUUGAUUAUGCAAGACAAUACUACAAGGCUUCUAAAGGUGGCUCCCAUGUGACUCAAAUCACCAUGUAGCACUUAGACCUUGACUAUAAUAAGCAACAGUACAAGGUACUAAAGAUGGCUCACAUGAAGUUUUCUUAUUGUGUAGCACUUAGUUCUGUUUCGCUCACAACCCAUUGAGUUUCCUCAACUUUCAAUAGUCAUCUUGCCCUUCCGACCAAAAAAAAAAAAAGAGUCAUUUUGCCCUAACUAUAAACCAACACUUGGUCAUUCAAACAUGGCCAAGGGCAUUGUGCUUUGUACUUAAAUGCCUUAAUUAAGAUAGCGAACUUGGCCUAUUUUCUUCAUAUUAAAAACACUCGAUAAAAUAAUCGUGUGUGGGUACAUGGUCAGUUUGAACCAGAAAUUUGAUAUUCUUCAUUUUAAAAAUCCCACUAUUUUAGAUAAUACUUUAAAAAAAAAAUCGGUGUCAAAACCCGACACUUGGUAUUUUCUAAUUAAAUACCAAAAUUUCAUAAUUUUGCAUUAAAUACUUAAAGUCAUAAUUACCACUCAAUUUGCACAAAUUAACAUUCGAUUGCAUAAACUAAGCACACUACUGCAAUCACCAUAAAAUUCCAGUCACUAGCUAUCAUGGUAUAAUUUCUGAAGAAUAUUAAAUAAUUUACAAAAUAAUUAAAUAAUGCAAAUUAAAUCCAAUAAAUACAUACUUAGGCCAAAUAAUGCUAAUCUAACCACCAAUUGGGCUAAUUAAAUUACCCUAAAAAUCCUAACUACAAGACUACAUAAUAAGCUGGCUAACUAAAAUCUCUAACCAUCUAAUUAACUAAUUUAACCAAUAUAAUUUAACUAAACACACUACUAAUUACACUAAUCUAAUCUUAACUUAGUCUAAACACCCCUUAAGGAUCAUUAACACCCUAACGAGAGUUUAGGACAUAAACUCUCUGGUUUAGCGCAAAAACCGAUUCACGGCGAUGGCGGCAUGACGGUGGUCAAAACUUGGGCCUACGACGGCACCAAAGGAGACCAAACCGAGGCUAAAAAAGCCUUGCAAGUCCACAGCAAAACUAUUGAGCUCAACUUAACGGGGCUGCAGCUCGUGGGCUGGGCUGACCUUGGCGGCGUGGCAACGGCAAAGGGGAAAACUUGGUUGGCUUCGAGAGGGUUGGAGACUUGCGAACACUAGGCUGGAACGUGUGGGCUGCCGUGAUGCUGAGGAUGCACGGGUGCUGGGAUUGUGGGAACAUGGAGCAUAUGGGCCGUUGAUGGCGUGAAUGCGACACGAGAUGGGCUGGACUGUGGCAACGAGUGAAGGCGAAAGGAUCUUGCGGUUGUAGGCAUGCGAAAGGAUUUCGUUCACUGGUAGGUGACGUUGGAAUGAUGAGUGGCUGAAAUGGUGAAAGGAACAACUGGAGGUGGCGUUGAUUCGGUGGGUAGCAGCAAGACAAAAAGGGAAUGAAGUGGGGGUGUUGACACCUGAAUUUUGCGAUUCGGUCAUUUAUUUAUUGUAUAGAAAAUUAUGGGUUAAUUUUAUCCCUGAAAAAUAUUAAUUGCAUAGCAUAUAAAUUUAGGUGCAUUUAUUUUUAAUUUGCAUUUUUUGCAUUUAUUUAUUGGACGGGUGGCGGAUGGGUUUGAAUUUGUGGUUCUGAGCUUUAAAUUGACAAGCCGGACUAGGCUCACGAAGGGAGCAAAUUAGCCCGAGCCCGUUGUUUUUUUAAUUAAUUAUCUUGUGAGAAAAUAUUUGAUAUGAUAUUACGAUAGAUUUUUGGAAUUUGAAAAAAUCGCAUUGCAAUCUUAUCUUUAGCAAUAGGCGAUAAAAUCAAUGGAGAAUAUUCAGGAGAUGAGGAAAAUAAAAGGAUUUUUUUUUUGUGAUCUAGUCUAGUUCUUAGGGGCGUCGGUCCAGUUCCCAAUUCCAUAAAAAUGGAAGUGGUGAUUUUUGGUCCGAUUCCUAGUUCUGGGAGAAAUUGAACUGAUUUUUUUUCCAAAAAUAUAUAUUUUUAUUUCUUUAAAAUAUCAAUAAACCUUAAAAAUAGAACAACUCUAGUAUUUUAAUUUUUAAAUUUUUUGGGCUAAAUAACUAGUUCUCGGUCUAGUCUUUGGUCCCAAAAAUUGGGAACCGAUUCUCUUGGUCUGGAUCUCGAUUCCUAAAUGAAACCAGCCAGAUCAGGAAUCAAUCAUCCCUACAAAAAAGUGUGCAACUAAAUAAAGUUUAAUAGAAAAAUCAAUCACAUCAACUCGCAUUUAUAAUUUUUUGUUGUGCAAUAAAACAUAUUGAAUGAGCAAAGAUUUGACAUCGAAGUUAUUGUGAACACCAUUUAAAUUGGAAAUGGAAUACUUAUUAUUUAAAACUAUAAAAUCUAGAAUCAGAUCGGAGAAAAAAGCAUAUAGAUAUAAGAUUGGGAGAGCAAAGCUCACAAAUCUAAAACUAGAUGGGGAGAGUAAGAUAAUAAACAAAGGAAAUACAAGGAAAAAUAACUAGGCGAGGAAGGGAAGAUUUAGGUCAAAUCCCUCCCUUUUGGAAGUGGAAGAGAUAAAGAGAGGGAGGGAGAGAGGGGGUUGGGAUUAAUUUUGCAAAUUUCAAAGGCUAUUGCAAACUGACCUAAAGAUGAGGGAAAUUUUGAGCCGUCAUUCUUUAAAAAAGUUAAUAAUUUAGAAAAAUUAAGGCUUUGCUUAUUUCGCGGAAUAUGAAAUAUUUAAAAAUUAUUUUCAUAAAAAUAAUCACUCAUAUUACUUAUAAAAAUGAAUGCGUAAAAAAUAUCUUUAUCGUCCAUGAAGAUAUUUAGAUGUAAAUUAUUGUCAAUGAUUGACUCAUUAUUUCUAGCAAUAUAAAUAAUUAUUUUAGAAAAAUGAUUUUUAAAUCAUUUACUUUUCAUGAAAUAAAUGAAACCUGCUAGUUCGUUUGUGUCACGACCCCAACUCUAUCCCUAGGGUCACGAGUAGUAAGGGUUAUUUUCACAAUGUCCCAAGCUCGUCGCCACCCCAAUCUUUUUUAUCUUGUUAUCAUGCUCAUGCGGAAAUGUGAACAAACAACUCCUCGAACAAACAACAGCUAGAAGAUCGGGACAUACAUCACACUGAACACACUGACUUAUAUUAUAACAGUACUAGCUUUCCACAUAGGCAAGGGAAGACCCUAUCUCCUCUAGCAUGACUGCAGCUCCCAAAAUUGAUGAGAGAAUUCUAUUCCUACAAGACUAACAGAUGAGGGAUGAGUUUUUGGGGAAACUCAGUAAGUAAAAUUCCUAAUUUUCUACUAGGAAAGCAUCUCAUCAUCAAAACCUAGCAAGUACAACACUCGCAAACAGUGUAGAUAACAGAUUAAUUGCAAAUCAUAUGUCAUGCUUUAUAUAAACACAUGCCAUCCAUGCCAAAAACUACCAUCGGCUUAUCAAUUAACAUACCAACAUAUCAUGCUCAUGCAUAACUGGCAUUCAUGCAAAUUCAUUUAUUGUCGUCUUGGCUCGACUAGGCCCUCCCGACUGGACUAGGGCUUCCAGCUUCUUGUUGGGCUUUUUGGCUCAACCAGAGCAUCUUGGCUCGACCGAGGUUUCUCGAGGCUAGCUUCCCGAGGCUUCCGGGUUCAAGACCCUGGCAUCCUAGCUCAAUUAAGGCAUCUAGGAUCAACCGAGGCUUCCCUUUCAACGAACGAAGCAUCACCGCUAACACUUUGUGGUGACGAACGCUUUUUCCUCUUUAAAUGCAUGCAUAAAUGCGUCAAACAAGCCGGUUCUUACCUCUUCUCUUAGCCAAUGCAUGCAUGGCCUAAGGUGUGCUCAUUCAUUUGUGUGUGUCAAGAAUUUCUUAUACUUGACUAGCAAAUAUGUCAGAAACGACCUUUGAUCCGUAACUUGAAUCAAUCACUUAGCGCUGAUCCUCGAACCGUAUAAGGCUUGGAAACGGUACACUUCAAUAUCGAUCUAAGACCUCGAGGCUUGGGUACCCUUGCUUAAGUGACGAUCCCAAGCUUGACGAACCUCGGCUUCGACCUGACAUGGAUGCACAUGUACUAAGGAUGGCCCUUGACUCGCGGUUUCAUUCAACGCUAAGCACAAAGUCCCCGCAUCGGUUUGAACUAUGGAAAUCGGCAUGCAUUGGUGCCUUACCAAGACCUCAUGGAUUUGGACAAUCCCCGUAUUGAAAAAGGCAUAGAAUCGACACGCCUCAAUGUUGAUUUAAGACCUUAUGGCCUUGGGCAAUCCUCGCACUAAGCGAGACUUGGAUCUAGCAUUAUAUUUAUGUCGAAACCAAUGUCUUAUGGCUUAGAGCGACCUUGCCUUGUGAUGAACUCAAUCCGAACGAAUCUUGGCUCCAUUUCAAACGUGAACAACUCAAGCACAUGUUCAAGUACAAAUAUAAGCAAAUCCAUAUAAAAGAUCCAACAUGCUACCCACGGCUUAAUGGGUGAGCACCUAACUAUACUCAGCAAUGGAGACAACCAUCCUAGAAGAGACAUAGGAAUCUUACUUACCUGGAUGAACCCCGAACUAGAGCUUGAACUACACAAGAUGCGGCUUGCCUUGAGGCUGAAAGAGAGAGAGCGUGAGGAGGGAGGAAGGGUGUUCUAGGAGAAGGAGGGUGGAGAAAAUGAAAGGCAAGUGAUGAAAAUGGGAGUGUUCCUGCUAUUUAUAGCCCUUCCAGACAUCAUUACCGAGCCAAGUGGUCCUCUCCAACGUUUCCAAGUGUCCCGCCUACUUUCCUUGGGUGGCAAGCCUACCUUGCCUCAUGAUUAUGCCUAGAGGAUGAGUUGGUCAAGCUAAAGGCCUUACUUGGUAAUCUAAGCUCCUAGGCAUCAUCGAUUAUGGCCUACUAAUCAUUCUCUUAUUGGUCCACUAAUACCCUGCAUUUAAUUGGCAUUUAAUGAAGUCUAAUGAUGAUAGUGUCAACUCGAGGGUUCUAGAAUAUUCUAUCAUAAUGAGGGCUCAUGUAGCGCGUUCCAAUUGGUCCACAUAUACAUCACAUUUUUCUAGAAUAUCCAAAGAUAUUUUGCCACCAUCAUGACUUUUGACUUUUCAAAUGAUCACCUCACCUUCUUCACGAAGGAAUUCCAGAGUUUUAUUUCUACUUUCCUUUCCUUCUUUAAGAAAGCAAAUUUUCCUUCCUCAAGAAGGCAAUCUAGAAAAGUCUAUCAUCCAAGUUGAUUUCAGAGCCGAGGAGGAGAUCAUUAGGUACACCUCAAAAUACCGAAUCACGUACACCAAAGUUUGGUCACCGCACCCCAUACUCACCCAAACCAUUCCUUUGGAUGGUCGGUCGGCCAAUAGGGUCAGUUGUCAUUUAAUUGGUUCGAGACCUAUCCUAAGGCUACCCAUGGCCUAGCACAAAUCCAAGGCACCUAUGGACCUUAGAAUAAGUGACGAAAUAGCCGAGUCUAUCCUUGGGCUCAUUCUGAUCAAUAUCCGAUCCACCGGUAGGGUUUAUGGUUGGUGCAUUACCAAACCAUGAUCGUACAUCACCAAUUCAAGAUUCUAUUCUAAUCACUAAGAAUUAAAUAUUGAAUAAUGCAUUUUUGGUUGGAAGGAAAUCGCAUUUGGUCAAUUCGGAUUGUCAGUGCAUCGGUGUAUAACCGGGCAGAAUCACCCGCAACCAAAAACUGUGACCGGUCGAAUCGACCCAUAACCAUCCUCCGAUCCAAACUUAUCUCGUGACCAAUUCUGGUGAUCAAAAAGUCAUCUUAUGAGCUGGUGAUCCUAUCCCAUUAGUAUGGUCGAUAGAAAUCAUGACCGACAUCUCGACCAAUUUGUGAUUGGUCGAUCGGUCGGUCGGUCGUGACUGAUCCGAGAUUCCUCGCUAAUCAAACCGAUCGAUUCAUGGCCAAUAGCCCAUGAUUGAUCCUUUUAGGACCUUAUGGCCGAUCCUCACAAGGUCAGAAUCGAGGAUGUUAUAGUUUGUUUCACUGAAAUCAUUUUUUGGGAAAAAGAUUCCUAAUCUGCUAGCAUUUGGUUUUUUUUAGAAAAAAAAAAGUCAACAAAAAAUGUUUUCCUACCAAAGCAUAAAUUGAGGAAAAUGAUUUUCCCUUUGGGAGAACUAGAAAAUAUUUUCUAAAAGUUAUCCUAGUUAAUAUAAAAUGUUUUCCUAUUAAAGCAUAAAAUCCUUCUUCAUUCACCAACCACAUGGCUUAGUGAUGGUCAGUGACUAGCCAUGAUGCUACUCAACAAGCUCAUGGCUCAACUAAUUCGGGUGAGCUCGACUUGGCCGAGCUGGCUGAACUUGCAGCUUGGUUGAUCUAGGUGAGAUUGAGGCUUGCCAAAUCCAAGCGAGCUCAUGGCUGGCUUGCGGUCAUCAUCACUCGAUCAAGGUGGAGGAAGGGGGAAAAAGAAAAGAAAAGAAAAUUUAAAAAUAAUUAAAAGUUUGCUUUUUAACAAAGAGAAAAAAAAAUUUAUAUAUAUAUAUAUAUAUCAAAAAAUUCAAAAAAAAUGUCUGAAAUAAAGUCAUAAAAUAAAAAUCAUUUUUCAACAAGACCAAUCAUGUAUCAUCAAAUAAACGAAAAGUAACAAUAUUUUUGAAAAAAUGCUUUCAAGAAAAUUAUUAUUUAUUAUUAUUAUUAUUAUUUUGCGGAAUUAACUUGAGCGUAGUGAUUCAUGUUAAGAAAAAGAUAACUUCUAAAAUAUUAAAAAAUCUACAAUUUUUGCUAAUUUUGAUCGGUCAACAAUUGCUUAGCAAACAUCAUAGAAAACAACGUAUCAUCUUCUAUUGCAAUUGCAAAGACGAGUAUAAAUAAGAGAAGGGACAGCCAAACUGGGGGCCGUCUCAAAAGUGGUUUUCCAGCGAGAGGGUUAGAGAAAGAAAUGGCGAUGGCUAUGGUGCGAUCUGCUCUCCUCCGCAGCUCCCUUCGCGGUGGCGCCCGUCCCUCCUCCGUGCCCAAGCGCAACUUCGCUUCCUCUGCUCAUGACGACGCGCGUACGCUCUUCCUCUCUCUCUCUGUGCCCCUUAUGUUCAAUCGUUGUUCGGAUGGAUUUGGUGUUGUUUUGGUGCUGAUUCGUUGAUUCUGGGUUCGAUAGUCGACUUCUUGGUGCUGCUUAAUCCACCUUUCGCUCGGGGGGCCGUUCCAGAGCUUGAUUCAUGAAGUGGGCUCGAUUUGAUUUUAGGUUUACGGGUCGCUGUAGUUGAAUUACCUUUUAUUCAUGCGGUGGAGAUGUCUAGAUGAUCCCUUUAUGCUGCUGAAGCUGCGAUGAAGAUUGUGUUAUGUCUGGACUUCAUUUGAGUGGCGGAAUUAGGGACCUUGUGAUUGACAUAUGAAAGCGGAGCUUUUUUCCAUCGUUCUCGUUUUUGUGGCAUUUUCUUUGAUGAGAAAAUGUUAGAUUGGAGAAUGUGGUCUGCGAAUCUAGAAAUUCUGGGGUGUAGUAAAAAUGGUUCCUUUACAGAGAUUCGAAGUUGAAAGGUUUCUACUUGAUUUUGUUUUAACAGAUGAGACGGCGAAGUGGGAGAAGAUAACAUAUGCGGGUAUUGUGACAUGCACGAUUUUGGCGAUUUAUAACCUGUCCAAGGGGCAUCCUCAUUAUGAAGAGCCUGCCGUAAGUGUUCUUUCCUAGAAAUCAACUCCUGCAGUGCCUAUUGUACUCUUUUUUCGGGUUUCUAGAGGCUCAUAUAUUUGACAAAAGCAGUUGGGCAACUUUCAGUUCCUGCUAUUAGUUCUUUCUUAUGCUUAUUCAGGGCUUUUCUUCUCAAAGAUCAAUUUUGCAAAGCACUUCUCUUUUUGUUUCUUAAUUGAAUAUAGUUGUGGUGGGGCUUACUGAGUCUGUUUCCUUGGCAUGUUUUGCAGGCGUACCCAUACUUGCACAUCCGCAAUAAAGAGUUUCCAUGGGGUAUGUAUGAUUCCUCGUGUUGCUAACUUUAUCUAAUUCUUUCUGAUGUGGUAACUCAUACGUGCAGACCUGAUGUCUGAAUGUGUCAUAUCAAAUAUGGCUCUGCUUUAUGUGUAUUGUCUUAUUAGCACCUACAUGGCCCCAUAUACUUUUAACUGUUUGUCAGAUUGUAUAUUAGAAUAUCUGUUUUUUGUUUAAUUGGGGACUAUUAAUAUUUGCUUUUUAUUGGAAACCUUACAUUUUUUAUUCCUUGUCUACAGAAUAUCCAGAUUAGGCACAUGCUGUUUAACUUUCACCAUUGUAUAUGUCGAACAAUAGGUUUUUGCUUUUUUAAAUCCGAUUGUUGAAACCAAGUUUUGAUAUCAUGUACGAGGGAUACCUAGAAGUGAAGUCACCGUUUUAGCACAAGUGAACUGAUAUUCUAGGAAAUGUUGAGGCAAAUUAAGAUGUCUGUUACUAGCAAUUAGGUUGAUGUUUAAUGCGAAAGUAAAAACGGAAAUGGGACCAAAGAUAUGUAAAUAGACGAUGGGUGAUGUAGCUACUCUGGGACACAUUACUUGUUUCAGUUUUGUCGUGGAGAAAGGGAACAAGUCUUCAGUGAAGAGUAUUCUGCUGACCAGAUAUAAUUUCUUAGAUGCUUAGAAAAAUUGAAACUGGGUUGAUUGUUAUCUCUUAGGUUGCCUCCCUGUGCAAUUAUGGGUGGUUUUGUUCAUUCUGGUGAUACUCUGCCUUGCUCAGAGCAUUGGUAUACUCCUUGGAAUCUCAGUCUAGGCUUGAAGGAUCAUGUAAUAUGCCAGUUUAUUGAAGUAAAUGUUGUUGGCUAAAUUUUGAGUGGUUAUGAUAUCGUGUCUCAUAAGAAUAGCCAUAGUAUCUGCAACUGGAAAAGUUUGUGGUUAUUGAAAGUGUCAACUUUGCGAAGCAAGUAAUUUGUAGCCUUAUCUUCCCAGAAAGCUAACAUUUAGUUAUGAAGUCUCAAUUGCAGUUCCCAAUUGUUUAGUUGAAUGCACCAUAAGAACUAAGUUGUCGGUUUGUCAGACUGAUAUCUUGAAAUUGAAUGUGCAUGAGUUGUUAUUCUUUAGAAGUUAGACUACCUGUUAUCCAGUUGGAUCUUUUCAACUGAUACUGUGAUAGCAAAACUAGCCACGAGGUUUUGGUUACUUAUUAAGACUAUCUUGUUUAGCAUGCUUAGUUCUUUGUUUUUCCCCCAUCCUCACACUUUCUCUUGGAUUUUUGCUUUUUACAUUAGGCUUUACAAGUGUCUCCUGGGUACUUGUUAAGCAUACUUAAUAGCAAUAUUUUAAUUUCCAAGGUGUCAUUAACAAAAUGCAAGAAAAAUAGUACAUUGGAAAAUGGAAACUUUCUGUAAACGGCAUCUUUGCAAGUGCCAUUGGGGCACAUUUUAACAAAAGUGGUCUACAGUGAUAGAUGUUUUCUUUUUCUCUAAAGACUGACAAAAAAAGAAGGAACUGGAUCGGGGGAAGUUAUACAGAAGUGCUUAUAUCUUGCUUGAGAUUUUGACGUCCUCCUGAAUUAUUUACUGCUUGUAAUUGGUGUUUGGUUAUGAAUCCCUAUUACUGAGUUUAAUAGGAUCUUAGGGAUUCAAUACAUUUUUUAUCGCAUUACUUCUCUGGCCCCCCCCUACUUCUCUUAACAAAAAAGAGUUGCAUAGUUGUGUCAGAUGGUAAAUCGAAAUCAGGUAGAUUUUUAUGUCCUCAGCAGAUCAACAAAAGUGUUAUUUGUGUUGAGAUUAAGUGUAGGAUAAGUAGUUGGAAGGUUGAUCUUUCACUGGUAGUAGUUUCUGUUAAACUCUUUUUUCCUUCAUUUCUUCUCCUACGACAGGGCCUGUCUUCAUGUCCGUGAAAGCCAAAAUGAACUUAGCAUCUAUUCUGCACGAAUCUGUCUGGUUGAAGCAACUAUUCUUGUGGUCAUUGAAUUGAAUAGUCAGAUAAUACUAAACAAACUCUUCCUGCUAGGGAUGAGAAUCAAUCCAGUCUUAAAAAUACUUAGGUUGUCAUUAUGGCAAUUCUUCUUUGGUGCAUCUGUUUCGUUGAUUGAUGAAGUCAUAUCCCAAGCUCCAGAUCUCCCCUCAUGCUCCUUUCUGCAUAAACUGAGAGAUAUUUAAUCUUUGUUACUCAAUGAACACCUCUUCUGCUAAUAUUGCUCGGACUAUAUACUGAAAUCUAUCCCUUUCCGGCUGUGCAAUCUUCUGUACUUUUAAGUGUGAUCCUUGUCCUUAACUCAAACUUGCCAUACUCUUUCAAAAAUGCCUCACACAAAUGCGCACGUGCACGUGCUCGUCUGCACACACACAAGCGCCCUGCAUGCACAUGCUCACACAAAUUUGUAUUGUUGAGCAUUGAAUGCACGUACACAGAAAAUGUUACACAUCCAUCUGUGAUAAUAUUCUGUUUCUUUGCUGCUACAACUUAUGAUAUGGACUUUGAUCUGAUCUUAUAAUCUGAUUGAAUGUCCGAAUAGUUCUAUCUAGGUUAUCAAAUUAAACGUUGUUGACUUGAAUGUGGAAAACUUCUUAGUAACUGAAAAUCAAAACAUUCAUCAGGUCAUCUUAUGUGAUGGCAAAUUGAAUCUAUAUUUCUUGGCAGAUUGGUUUGACUUCUUAUCUUUGAAAGUAAUAUUGGAAUGAACUUAGCGCUUCCAAACCCACCCCCAACCCCCAACCUUUUGGUUGUAUAUCAAAUUAUUGGAUUUUUCUCAGCUAGUGAUUUGGUCAGUAAGAACAACAUUGGGAAACUUGGAAUGCAAGCUUUGGAUAUAUUACUUUGUGUAAUGCUUUGAGAUAGAGGCAGUUGACUAUUCUCCAACGAUUUCCAUAUCUUUCUUUCUUUGAUCCUUGUGACAGUGACAGACAGAAUAAUAGUUGUCUUGGAAUCCUGAUUUUCACUUAUAAGGACCUUGAUGGGUACGUAGAUGUGCAUGUGCAGGGACAUUGUUUCAAAAGAUUGUUAGAAGCUGGAUAAAUAAUGCAUGUACACGAGAAUGCAUUUUCCUGUUUAUUUAUUGCUUCGUUGAAGUUUUCAAUUUGUGCUGUCGAUGUGAAGGGUCUCUAACUACCUUAAGGAUUUAGCCAUCUUUUUUCUUUUGUAGUGUAGUCUCUGUUCUUGUCAAGUGAAUAAUGUGGCAUGGCUGCAGAGAUUGUCA
rnacentral:lncRNA from 1 species